UUUAGGUUAGAGAUGUAGAGAGAGAAAGAGAGAGAAAGUGCUUAGCUUAGAGAUAGAGAAGCUGAGAUUAGAGAAAGGGGGAGAAAGAGAGUAUAAUUAGAGAAAUAGAGAGAGAGAGAGAAAGGGUGAGAGAGUUAAGAUUAGUAAAAAGAGAUCAAGAGAUGGGAUUAAAGAGAGUAAGAGAGUUUAUGUUUAGAGAAAGAUGAGGUUAGAGAGUAAACGGGAAAAGUAGGUGAUGGAGUGGAGAGAGAGAAAAAUAGAGGGUGGAAUUACGAAUUUAAUGAUUAUUAUAAUUCAUUAAUAUAAAGGUACAUACCUUCUCCCAAUGGAAUAAUAUUAUUACUUUAGUGUGAAUCUCAUUUCCAAAUGAAUCUAAUAUUAUCAAUCAAAUUACUUGAUAUAUUUAGCCAAAUGUCAUCAUUUUAUUUUGUUUCUGUUAGAUUAGCGAAAAUUGUAAAAAAAUAACACAAACUAAAUACAGCUGUAGAACUAAAAUUCUCAUUUAGAAUAUUUCUUACUAUUUCUUCUAUAGAAGUUUCCAAGACCAAACUUUGCCUAGAUUAAUCUAAUUUACCCACGAUUUGUAUUUCGAAAGAUUUUGGGUGAAAUCCGAAUCCAUAUUUUGUUGGCUUAUAGAAUUUCAAUAUGGAUCCAAGAAGGACUAAUAUCAGGCUUAUGAUCGAUUCUCCAAAAAUUCAAACUAGAGUUAGGCAAAUAUGAAAGAAAAACAAAUUUUUACAUCUCAGAUGUUUGUAUCCUCAUUAUGUAUGUUAAUCCAAAAAAAAAGAAUAAUGGGUACAAAUUAUUUGAUAAUAGUCCAAUAUUAAUUAGAUAUAUUUCCAAUCCAAAUGUGUACCCUAGUAAGUCACAUGUAGUCCUAUUCAAUGAUGGUUGUCAAAUAAAUGCUCUUUAAUUAUCUCAUGAGGAGAUCAUAUAUUGUUUAUAAUAACUUCUAUUAGGAAAUUGAUUUUUCUUUUAAGGGAAAAGGGUAUUUCUAUAUUUUUCAAUUUUUUAUUCAUUUUCAUCUUUAUAUAAUAUAUAAUGAAAUAUAUUGAUCUGUAUUAUUAAUAUAUAUAAAUGUCAGUAUACAUAUAUGUAAACCACUUCAAUUAAAGGCCAUUUAUAACCUUUUUUUGUUGACAUAAAUUGUACUAUGUACAAAAGAAAAUUAGUAUUUUUUCACAUGAAAUAAUAAUUAGAGGAAUAAAAGGUUGAUAUAUUUUAUUACGUCCAAAUGUGCAAAAUUGAAAUCAUAGAUUACUUUUCUAAUUAAUACAGUGUGACUAAUUUGGUUACUCUUAUUAAAUACAUUAAAGCAACAUCAGAUUCUUAAGUCAUGCAGAUUUAAAUGGAGCAGAUUCUCCCUUACAUCCCUUAUAUAUUAUUUUUAUAUUUAAAUUUAUUUUAAUUUAGUUAUUUAAAACAUAUUCUAAAAUUAGAUAAAUUAAACAUAAAAAUAACAACAUUUAUCAAAAUAUUAUACUUAUUAAAUGGAUGAACUCCUAUACUAUAUUUUCAAAAAAGAGAACGAGCAAUUUAGGAGAAGAGUCCCUUUCCCCUCAACAACCACAUAACGUAAUAAGCUACAUAAACAUAUUAUCUUACAUUAUUAUUUUACUAUUUUUGCAGGUUCAAAUAUUAUUUUACUAUUUUUAAUAGAGCAAGUACAAUUUCAAUGAAAAUGACUAAGAGCUAAUUAAGCUUUCGCCUGAUCGAGGUGUUAGCCUCGGAUUAAAAAUGAAAGUCCACACGACUUUCUCACCAGGUGUACACUGUUCGUAUUAAGAAAAUAUUAAUUAAACUAAUUGCAAUGAGGAAUGAUUAGGCUUUGACUCAAGGGAUUAGUAGCCAAUGGUUAUACUUUGCUUCUCCUUCCCCAUCAAAAGAUGUAAGCCAUUAUUUUCACAAAUUAUUGCCUACACUUAGUACAUCCGUAUGUACAUUCGUGUCCGUUCAAUAGCUUUUGAUCGUGUAUUAUAUACAGUGCUUGAAUCUUAAAGCAGAUAAUUUAUUGCCAGUUGGACGGUCCUGUUAUGAAUAGCGUAUGAGGAGUUUUUAUGUAUAUAAUUAGAUUUAAAUAUUUCAAACCGGCGGUUUGGAUUCAGUAAGCUGUUAAUAUUAAUAGGUUAAUUCUUUACUUUUGAUAUCAGAACCACUCACAAAUCAGAGUUACUUAAGCUUAAAUAUUUUGGGCUACUGAUUUGAAUACAAUAGAUUGCUAAUUUUAGCGCGGUAAGCUGACUAUAGGAAAAAAGAUAUCUUAUUUUAAUCUCGUAUAUUGAUUAUACAGCAAAGAUUAUUUUAGUUUUUGUUUUGUACUUUAUUUCUGUUUUAAGUGGGCUUAAAAAUUUAUAAUGAUAGUUGAAUUUAAGAGAAAAGCAUUAUGAAAUGCGUUGACAUUUGAUUUUGUUAUACGUUUGUUUAGCACAAUAGUAUAAAUUGAAUGUAUUAUGUAAUAAUAAUAAAUUGUAAAUUUUGGAAGCUGCGUAAAAUGGGAUCUGUUUAUCUAGUUAUGUAUCUAUUAAUUAAUUUACAACCCGAAAAUAUGUUCAAAUAGAGAACUGAUGUAGCAUGCUAAUUAUUAAUUCCAGAAAAAAAAAAUUGCAUGUGAAUUCAAUAAUAAUUCUAAAUUUUUAGAUUUAUUUAGGAAAGUAAUUAAAACACAACCUAAAUUGUAGAUUAAUUUUUAUGUCUAACCUUUUUAAUUAGGUUUGUUAUAGAGGCAUAGCAUGUGUCUUUGAAAUUAUUAAUAAGAAAUAUGUAUAUUAAAUCAACUUAUCGUGGGAAUGUUAAUAUCAUCAUUCUCUAAUUGAGAGAACGAAUAUAAGUUACAUGCUGGAUCUUUUAACAUGACAAAUAAUUUAAUCAAUCGUUUUAUUAUUGAUCACAGCUUUAAAAGUUGUGCGUACAAUGUUUUCAUUGAGCUGGUGCAAGCAAUAAACUUUUUUCUUUCUUUCUUUCUUUCUUUCUUUUUUUCUUCCUCCAUGUGAAAGAAGAUUCCCAUUUGGGGACUACAUCUUUAGUCAACUUCAUUGAAUCAAAACACGUGAGAGGAAAAGUAAAACAGAGUAUGAGAGGUGAAAUAUUCAAAGUAAAUUAUUCAAUACUCUGCCCCACCUCAUUCCAUAUUAGGGAUAAUAUAUUUCCAAAUAGUUAUUUCUUUACCAAACCUCAUUCCAAAACCAUGGCCAUAGUAACAUACAUACCCUAAUUUUAUAUGAAGCAACUAACUGCAAUUGGAACAUUUAUAUAUUAUUUUAUCAAGGCCAACUUUAAAAAAAAAAAAAAAACCCCAAACACCCCUUGUACUUAACAAGAAAUUGUUGUCUACAUUUGGUGUAUCUAUACGUCUUGUGCAUUGCAAAUAAUAUUUGAUGAUCGGUAUCUUAAAAUUUAGAUUAGCAGGUGUAAUCCAUAAAAUGUAAAGAGUUUAUCUUGUGAUGGUAAGUUUUGAAAACCGGUUGUAUAGGCAUCAGGUAAUAGAACAGAAUAGGGGUGGCAAUCCAGCUCGCUGUUCGCGAGCCAGCUCGUGUUCGGCUCGAAAUGAGCUCGAGAUCGAAUCGCUCUUUUAGUAAACGAGCCGAACAUGAGCUGAAUUUUUCAGCUCGUUUAAUAAACGAGCCGAACACGAGCUGGGGUUAGCUCGCUCGUGUUCGGUUCGAUAACAGCUCGAAUACAUAUAUUUUAUACUUAUAUAAUUUAUUUAAUUUAUAUUUUUAUAUAUAAAUAAAUAAUUAUAUAUAAUAUAUUUUUAUUAUUUAAUUUUUAGCGAAAUAAAAAUAUAAAUGCGAGCUUAAUUAUAAAAAGACUCAUUUAUAUGUAAAAUUUUAAUUAUUAGAUCAAAAUCUAAUAGAUAAGAUUUUAUAAAUUUAUUUUUUAUAUAUAUUUAAUCUAAUCCUUUUUAAUUUAUUGUUCGUUGGCCAGCUCGUGAGCCAGCUCGUGUUCGGCUCGUUAAUAAACGAGUUGAAUACGAGCUGAAUUUUUCGGCUCGAUAUUUUAACGAGCCAACCCCAGCUCGCUCGUGUUCGGUUCAUUUACACCCCUAGAACAGAAUAGUGCUCAAGUCAUAAAAAGUUUUUUGCCUAUUUUAAUCCUUUAGAAAUGGAUUUAAAGUAAUUGAGUUUCAAACUUAAGACGUUAGGUACCCAUUAUUAAGUUUGUAGCCAAUUAUGUAAGAUGAGGUUGGUGCUCGAUUAAUAAAAAGAUGAUGUGUGAAAUUUAUGAUUCUUAACAUGUAAGGCUUAUGAAUGGCGUUGAAUACAUCCACUGAAUUAGAUUCUAAUUUUAGGUUCUCCAUAAUAGAAUUUUAGCAAUACAGUAUACGAGAGUUAGGUCCUAAUGUUGAAAUAACUUAUUCAAUGAUAACUUGCAUGAUAUGAGAAUCUUCUUUUCAAGUUUGAAAUUAGGAGUCUGAAUUUUGCUCAGUGAAAGAUUUGUUGUCCGUAAUUUAAUACAAUAGCAUAUUUUAUCUAUAAGAUAAUUUAUUUUAUUUCGAAGAAAAUAACUUACAAGCUGAAUAUCAUCUGUUAGAGAGUACAAAAUUUUUAAACAAGUUAAAAAGCUAUGCUGAACAAAAAACUUAUGUAUUCAAAUAGGGCCUAAGUGCACGUAUUAUUCUAAUAAGGAAAAACUUCAAAUAUCAUUCCUGUGGUUUCACAUUUUUUCACUUUAGUAUUUUGUGAUGUAAAGUGUAUUAAUUUAGUGCCAUGUAGUUUCAUUUUUAUCUUUUUAUUAUUAAUUUCACCAAUUUUUUUGUUAAAUCAGUGACAAAGUUAAAACUAAAUAGUACUAAAGUGAAUAUUCGAUAAACUUAGAUGGAGUAUUUGAAAUUUUUUGUAUGUAAUUUAACGAAAUCUUAACGGAAAAACUGACGAAAAGAUAAAAAUGAAAUCACAUGAUAUUAAUUUGAUACACUUUAAACCACAGGAUAAUAAAAUGAGAAAGUGGAAAACCACAGGUGUGGUAUCUGAAGUUCAUCCUUCUAAUAAUACUAAUACACUUGGUUCACGCAAUAAUUUGUUUCUUCUAACCACCGUAUGUGCUCUGCUAUGUCCUUGGUCAGAAUCCUCGUUCCACCACACGUAUAUAGACAUAUACAUGUAAACUCCUGAGUCAUGGGUUUAUUGUAACACACAACACACAUUCCUCUUCUCCAAUCCAACAUUCCAACUAUGGGGUUCAUCACCCCAAGAACAUCAUCUCCUUACACCAUAACUCUCCUCCUCAUCCCCCCAGCUUUGCUUGCCCUGACUUAUCUCAUCCCCCUCCCCGACUUCUUCGCCCCCUGCGCCGCUCCGCUGCUGUUGUCGUCGUCGUCGUCGACCCCGUCCCCUCCCCCCGACCCCGAAUUCCGCCUCCUCAUCGGCAUCCUCACCCUCCCCAACCGCUACGCCCGCCGCCACCUCCUCCGCCACGUCUACUCCCUCCAGCAACCGACGAGCCCCUCCUCCGUCGCCCGCGUCGACGUCCGCUUCGUCUUCUGCAACGUCACCGACGAGGUCGACGCCACGCUCGUCGCCCUCGAGGCCGCGCGCUACGGCGACGUCGUCGUCCUCGGCUGCGACGAGAGCAUGAACACCGGAAAGACGUACACGUUCUUCGCGAGCCUCCCCGACAUGCUCGACGGCGACGGCGGCGACGGCAGCACGACGAGUCGGCGGGCGCCGUAUGAUUACGUGAUGAAGACGGACGACGACACGUACUUCCGUCUGGACCGAUUGGUGACGUCACUGCGCGGCCAGCCGACGGAGGACUUCUACUACGGCGCCGGCCUCCCCUUCGCCGACCCCAAAUUCCCCCCCUUCAUGCUCGGCAUGGGGUGCGUAAUUUCCCAUCUUUUAAAUACUCCCAAAUUUAAAUUUAAACUUUAAAAUUUGAAUCCAAUUCACCAAUGUAUGGUCGUUGUUCCCUUUUUUUUUUUUUUUUUGUAAUCAUUUACUAAGGAGGAGGUGUUUGGUUUAUCAAAAAUACUUUGGACUUUUAACCAAAAAAAAAAAAAAAAUCGUCUAUUUCAUUCUCAGAAAAAACAGUUUUAUUCUGGAAAAAUAUUUUAUGUUUAUUUGAAUUUUCAAAAAAAUAGUUUUCUUCAAAAAAAAUUUAAGAGAUCUUAUAGAAAAGUCUCCUUUUCGUUAACGUAAAAUGAGCUAUCUAGUUAUUCUAACAUUUGACUUAAUUAACAAAUUCAACGAGUUUUUACAGUGAUUAAUUAGUACCCAAAGUAUUAUUAUUGACUUUUCCAUGAAAACUACCUAAAUUUUGCAUAAUGAUUUUGUAAUUUUACAUAUAUUAAUGUUUUAUAAAAAAAAUAAUCAAAUCAUAAAUACGUGACACCGUUGACGCGUACUUAUUUAUUAUCAAAAAAAAGUAAUAUGUUAAUGUUUUAAUAUUCAACAGGUAUAUAUUAUCGUGGGAUUUGGUGGAAUGGAUUGCCACGUCGGAUAUUCCACGUAAGAACGCGGUGGGGCCCGAGGACAUGUUAACGGGGAAAUGGUUAAAUACGGGGAAUAAGGCGAGGAAUAGGUAUAAUACGGUCCCGUAUAUGUACGAUUACAAGGGCCCUACUUCGGGGGACUUUUUGGUGGACACCAUAGCGGUGCACCAGCUCAAGGAGAAUUCGAGGUGGGCCCACACGUUGAAGCACUUUAACGUUACCAAGGGAUUAGAAAAACCCUCUAAAUUUUACCAUUUUUCUUAAUUUUUUUUUUCCCUUUUUGUGGGGGUUUUAUUUUUUGUGUUUUGGGGGGGAAUUGGUUUAAUUGUAAUAGAUUUUUUUUUUUUACAUAUAAUUUACGUGAUUUAAUUUGUUAGAAGAGGAACAAAAGUUUACAAAUUUCAGUAUUUGUUUGUGAAUUAAAGUUUGGAUUUUUUUUUUUUUUUUUUUUACUGAUGUUUACUAAAAAUUUUUAUAUUAGUAUACAAGAAGGUGAAAGCAUUUAAAGCAACUAAUUUUUUUUAGUUUUUUUUAAUCUCUUUUUUUAUGUAAUUUGUUUCGUUGUCAAUUUGAGCAAAGUUAAUUAUGGCGUUUUGAAAAGGUUGAGUUAAGAUCGAAAUUAGUUUAUAACAAAUCAAAUAGCGAAAGUAUGUAUUUACUAAAACAAAUUGGGUCAUAGGUGCUAUUGAGUCUUUUAAUUUUAGUGUUUUUUUUUUCCCUAAUUUUUUAGACUAAUUGAGGUUUCUCUUGUUAAAUAUAUCCCCAACUAAUUAAAAAUUGAUAGGAAAUAUGCUUUGAAUGCUUAGUCAUUUAUUAAAGAGUACUGAGAAAAAAAUUCUAGGCACCAAAAUGAUAUUAAUGUAUAUUUAAUCUUUUUUUCAAUACUUUAAUUACAUUGUAAUAUUUCUUAAAUUAACACUACGAUUAUAGUAAGAAGCGCACGAACAAAAUAAAUUUUAAAUUUAAGUUGCAAUGGAUGCGUAAAACAGUUUUGCCUCGUUAAGAAGGAUUUUCGAAGGGAUAAAUUUUGAUCAUGAAUAUAUAGCAUUUUAAAGGGAUAAAUUUUAACCAUAACCAGAACCCGCGAUUUAUAGCUUAAAGAUGAGACCAAUUAUUAUGUAUAAAACAUGGACUCGAAAACUCUAUCAUCAGAAAUAAUAUGAGUAUGAUAUUCAUAGAAAUAUAAUAACUUGUGUGCAAACAUAUAUACACAAGCACGCAAAAUAGGCAUACAUAAACAUGCAAACAUGCAUAAACACGCAAAAAUUACGUACAUAUUUAAUAAAAGGGAUAAUAUUUUCUUCAAAAUUUUAAAAAUAUCUAGUUUACUCGUGGUCGACUAAAAUGCCUUUGUUUAUUUAAAAAAAAUCAAAUAUACCUCUGCCCUCUAGGGUUCACUAAUAAGAUUGGGGUUUUUAGAAGGAUAUUUUAGGAAAUAUGGAGUAAAUUUAAAAAUUUUGAAUAAUAGGAAGGGAUAUAAAAGCAAAAAAUCCCAAUUUAUAUUUAUGCAUGCAAUAUAUAUAAAGAGAUUUUCAUAAUAAAUUUUUUAGAAAUAAAUAAUGAUUCUGGAUUAGUUUAUGUGAUCGAAUCAUCGAGAGAGGUCCAUUAACUCUUAUAAUUAUUUUUUGCAAAAUAAGCAUGGUGUAUAUAUAUNCAACCAGACUCUAUAUAUAUAUAUAUAUAGAGAGAGAGAGAAAGAGAGAGAGAGUUCUAUUACUAUAUAUAUUAUCGAUAGUGAUCAAACGUUUUGUGCUAUCGAAUUUUUUGUUAUUAAAUUUAUCUCUUUGACUAAUUUUAUCCAUUAUAUUAUACUAUUAAACUAACCAUUCACUCAAUUUUAGAUAAUCACUAUUAUUCUAAACGCGCAUCUUUUCAUCUAAGAAUCAAAAAUCGCUUAGUACUAUAAUAGUAUAGUAGUCUAAUUUUAUAUAUAUAUAUAAAAUUAAAAUUAAUGCUACAAAUGCUUCGUAGAACAUGCCAAGUUGCACCAUGCACGUUGAUGAAAUUAAAGAGGGGGAAUUAAUUAAUUACUAAAUAUUAUCCUAUAUAUUCUUUUUGGUAGGUAAAUAAUUUUGGUUUGUUAUAUUUCGAGAGCAUUAAAAAAGAGAACAAUUGAAAAAAAAAAAAUAAUACUGCAAAAUACAUUCUCAUAUACAUGACAUAUCUCUUACAACGUGCCAUGAAUUGCGUGCAUAAUUUGGGACCUUAUAAAAUUAAUUAAAUGAAUACAUUUUAAGUUUUAUAGAUAUAUUUAUUUUAAGCCUGAAAUAAAUCGAGUCACGCAUGUUAAAUUAGAUCUGAUUUUCUUAUGUGAUUUUGUUUUGGUUUUUGCAACUACACUAGUAAUUAACUAAUAAGUUGAGUUCGAAAUCGAAACUGAAACCAACGAAAAAUAAUAUAUAUGUGUACGUACAUGAAUUUAUAGAAUUAUAUACCAACACUUCAUCAAAAUAUACCCUAUUAUUUUGAAUUUUGUUGAUAAUUUUUUCACUAUUGUAGAGUCAUUAAGAUAAAAUUGUGUUUGGAUUUCCAUUUGAUUGGUUAAAUUAAUUAAUUUGGGAGUUAUUUUCCCAAAAAAACCAAAUAGAAUUCGUACAUUGACAUUCUUAGGUACGUAGAACCUCACAUCUCAGAUCCAUUAUUAUAUAAAUUUAAUGUCCAUGAAGAUGCAAAUUUUAUACCCUAUUAUAUUAAAUUCAAUCAUCGUGUGGAAAUAGAUAAGUUUUUUUAUUUUUUAAUUAAUUGAUCAUACUAGAGAUUAGUGGCGAUUACGUAUGGUAAAGCUCAACCAGAAAAGGACUUCAAAAAAUUAAUUUACGUGUUGAUUUACAAGAAAAUGAAAGAAACUGAUAAAACAAAUUGGUCAAGGAGUGAGCGAAAACAGGUUUUAGAUAUGAGUGAUCAUAAUGCAAGGUUUAAUUUACAAUGAGUUUAAAUGAGUGCUCAAUUAUUUAAUUUCAUACAUAGUGAAAUAAUCAGAGUCGUAUUUCAAGUAGGGAUAUAUAAUUUAUUUUUUAUUUAUAAAUACUCACUUUAAUUCUUAUCCCAUCUUACCUAAUUAAACGCUAUUUUUCUUAUUCUCAGGAAUACUCAAUUUUCAUCCAAACGCAAAAUUCAUCAAAUCCCUGCUUAUACCUCAAUUUAUACCUAUUUUCGGAAUAUCCACUUUUUGCUUAUUUCCGAACCAAACGAUACCUUAGAGAUGAGCAGGAUUUUAUCCCUACAAGUAAGGGUGUAAUGUGAGCCGUAUUGGGUCGGGCACGGUCCACAUUCAUCCGGGCCAAACCGGGCCACAGGUCAGCCCGUCCCGGCCCGGAUAAAAUUCGGCCGGGCCGUUCCGGGCUGAAUUUUAUGGAUUCCCCGCCCGACAUGGCCCUCUGGCCCCGAUGGCACAGGUCGUGCCGGACCAGACCGGGUUCCGUACCAGCCAUUUAAUUUUUUAAUAUUUUAAAAAUAUUUAAAAUAUUAAAAAAUAAAAAAGUAAAAUGGUUCUUCUUCCGGUUAAUAUGUUAAAUCAAAAAAUAAAAUUUAGUAAUUUAUAAAGUAAUAAAAUUUUUAAAUAAUUUUAAAAAGUUAUGAAACUUUGAAAUUUUUUUAAAAAAUCUUUUUCUCCAAAGGUUUCUGAACAAUAAACCUUUGGAAUAAAUGUUCAUCCCCCAAGAAGGGCCUUGGGCCGUGCCGGGCCACGGGCCAAGCUAUCGGCCCGGCAUGGCCCAGGCCCAUAGCGGGCCUAGCGGGAGCGGCCCAGCACGGUCCGGCACGGGAUCUACAUGGCUAACUCAGAAAGUCAGAAACUUUUCAAGAAUAUAUAAGUAAUUGACCCAAUAUUUGAAAUAUAUUUAGUUUUUAGAAUAAUAUUUAAUUGCUAUAUAUUUAGUAAAUUGAUCAAUCAUACUUACUAAUUUGACAUAUGAACAAAAAAAAAUGGAGUGAUAAAUUGACAAUAAUAAAUCAAAAUUGGAAUUAGGGUUUGGCUACAUUUGUGUUAAAUCCCAAGUGGUCCGGCCUAAACCGGCCCAAACCGGCCCAAGAUAUGGGCCGGGCAGAACCCUUGCAAAAUAACCUGGGCUCGACCUAGGCCCAGCAUUCUCCUGAACCAUUGAUUCUAGAUCCAAGUCUCCCUUUUUUGAACUUUUGUUUUUUGUUUUUUUUUUUAAUUUAAGGACAAACUUCAAUUUAUCCUACUGCAGUUUAACAAUUUUUUUUAUUUUGUUAUUCCGCGGUUUUAAAAGUUACACUUAACCUAUGAUUCAAAAAAUUUCACUUUAAACAAUUUCACUUUCUACCCUAUCGGCGACAUGUUUUUUUUAGUGAAACAGAAUUAAAACCCCAUUCAUAUUUUAAGAAAAGUUUCAAAUUCAAAAAGGAUAUGCAAAUUACCUGCAGGUGUUUGGGAUAAGAUAGGACACAUGAAAUGCUUCUUCUCCAUCUAGUAAUUUGAUUAGAAAUUCGAAGAAAAAGUUCACGUCUUGGGUCUAAAAAAUUUGGUUGAUUUCGUUUGGCGUAUGUAAUGUUGAUAGUAUGGUUAGAAAAAUUGAGUAAGAUCAAGGCGAUCAAACAUAGGAUCUCCUGCUUUAAUACCAGAUCAAAUUAUACUGAAAUAAUUUUUUUUUUUUCCAAACACUAAAUCUAUCAAAAAAAAUAGUAAUGUAAUUUUUUAAUAUUCAUUAAUUUUAUUUCUCAACUCAUCAUGGUCCCUAGAAGUAGAAGAAAAAUUUACAUUAAUAACAAAAAGAGAUCAUGAAUUUGAAAUAUAGGUAGCAAUUAAAUCCAACAGCUCUAUGUAUUGUAAUUAAUACCUACUCAUAUCAUGAUCAUUAAAUAUUUUUCUACGAAAAGUACAUAAAUACUUUGUACUUCAUUAAUUAUUAUUCAAUUACAAUUUACGCCAACUAUGCAAUAUAUUCAACUCUCUUAAUUAAUUCAGAAANAAAAAAAAAAAAAAAAAAAACCCAUGACUUAUUUUAGUAGUUAAUAAUUAAUUAUAUUAUUUGUACUUUGUUAACUUUUCACUUUACUCAUCUUAAUUAGGGACCCCCCCACUGUGUGUUUUCAUAUGCCUAGCCCUACAUAGAUGAUACGGAAUUAAUUGUUUAAUUUGAUAUAUUUUUAUAAAUUCAAAGUACAUUAAUUCAUCUUAUUUUUUUAAAAAAAACUAAAAACAUUAUUGUGAUAAGUGUUAAUUUUGUAGCUAAUUAAAGAGGUUUACAUGUGGUCAAUAACAAUUAUUCGCGUGCUUCGAUCAAACUGAUAUAUAAACCUUUUUUUUAUUUUUUUAAUUUAUUUUUUUGGUCAAUGAGACUAUAAUUAAUUAAACAUUUUGAUCCACAUGCACCGAUCUCUACGUCUCACGUGAAAAAAGUGGACACGGCCAAAUCCUUUUGCUUGAUCAUGAAGUCAACUCGCACGUAUUAUUAUUUUACAUCAAUUUUCGUGCUCCAUGGUUUCAUGCAAUUCUCGUCAACUCUGCAUGCGCCUCGAGAUGAGACCUAGAUUCUCGUGUCAAUCUCGAGUUACGAAAUUAUUGCGUGCACCAGGUGUAUUCUUUAAUUAUAAACACCGCAUCUUAAAAUCUGAUUAUUAUUAUUUUAAAAUCAAUAUUCAAUUUGAUAAGAGAUCAGAGAAUCAUAUCACUAUAUUUACGAGGAUGGUGCAUGGUGCACUAGAUGAAGAAAUAAUUCUUUAAAUUUUUAUUUGUAUUUUUUUCCCCCUUUUGAAUAUGAACAAGCAAUAAGUACUCCUCUAUAAGACUCAACAUCAACUUCGCCUUUUAUGCCGCUUCCUCUCACAUGCUUUGUUGGUCUUGGUUUUCCCCUCACAUGCUUUGUUAUAUUAGUUCUACUAAAUUCAUUAUAUUAUUAUUAUGUAUUAAAAAAGAAAUACUAACAUUAAUAUUGUGGUCCUUCACCACCAUAAACCAUCUCCAAAAUACUUUGCGUAAAAAGCAAACUUCUUAAAUUGAGCAUUCAAAUUUUAAUUACUAUGAUAGCAGUCCCAAGGACCAUGUAACUUUGAUAGUUUUUUUUUUUUUUUUUUUUUUCGUUUUUGGUCGGGUUUUUUUUUUUUUUUUUUUUUUUUUUUUUUUUUUUUUUUUUUUUUUUUUUUUUUUGGGGCAACUCAAUAUGCGCAAAGAAAUUUUUUACACACUAUUUGUUUGAUCAUCAAUCAUUUGGGCCUUUUUAUUUUAGAAUAAUUAAAUAGAUUUAUGCUAUGUUGCAACCAUGUAAAAAAUUUCUGCACACUAAUUAAUUUCUAGAGAUUUGAAAAUUUGUCUAUUAUAUUGCAUCAAUCUUAUCAAUAUAUAGUAAAUAUGUUAGAACUAGUCAAGGCUAUAACAAAUAAACAAAUUAUUUUAAUUAUUAAAUAAAAAAUUAAUGGCGACAAUUUCUAACAAGUGAUCAUGUAAUUCUUCGCUCUCUCCACUUUGAAUCAGAGUAGAUCAUGAUAGACCAUAAUCACGUAGUCUUGCGUCAGAAACUGUUUCCAAUAAAUUUUUAUCCCUAAUUAUUUUAAAAAAUAAUACUAUAAAUAGAAGGAAAAUUGUAAUGUAUCUUAAGCUUACAUAAAAUUAAAAUGUUGUUUAUUAACUAAAACAAAACAAGAACCCGCACCACAUAAAAAUUACUAUGACAACUUCUUAAAUUAUUACGAAUGCUAUAAUUUUACAUGCACGUGGAGAGCGUAGCAAAAUUCAAAAGGGCAAAACUAGCUCUGGUCAAUGAAUGAUCUAUGAUGUGGAAGUACAAGUCCACACCAAAUCAAAAUAAUCUCCUCUCUCAAAAGCCCCUCCUCCAUAAGUAUCUCUCCCAUAGUUACAUAGGAGUGGUGCAACUCUACCUCCAUUGGACUCAACAAGGAGCAAAGUUGCACCAAAAGUCUCAGCCAUGGUGGUGCAUAAAACCCAAGUGCUCCCUCUCUCCUCCGACGUCCCCGUCAGCGCCGCCGUGACGAAGAAGCCGCUGUCCGUGUUCCCCAAACCCUCUUUCGCCGCCGGCGUCCUCCUCCUCCUCCCCUUCUUCCUCCUCGCCUUCAUCUACCUCUUCCUCUUCCCCCAGGAGUUCCAGCUCCAGUCCUUCAUUGCCUCCUGCAACCCCAUCGCCGCCUCCUCCUACGUCGGCUCCUCCGACGCCCUGACCACUCGCGUCACUCGCGAGCCCGACUUCCGCCUCCUUAUCGGUGUCCUCACCCGCGCCGACCUCUACGAGCGGCGCCACCUCCUCCGCCUCGUCUACGCCCUCCAGAUGGCCAACCUCACCGCGCACGUCGACGUCCGCUACGUCUUCUGCCGGCUCUACAAGGACGACCAGCGCAUCCUCGUCCCUCUCGAGAUCAUGCAGUACGUACUGUUAAAAUAGCCAGCCGAAGUCCUGUCGGGAUGCAUAAAUAUCUUGUUCGGUAUAUAUUUAGAGCGUGGUCAAAUACAUAGAAUGAAAUGAUAUGUAUAUUCAGCCUUUUAACUCAUUUUUUUAAAAAAUAAAUCACUUUAUAGAUGAAAUAUGCUAUAUAUAUCUUACUAAAAAGUCUUCGGAUAACUUAAUUUUGACAUCCAAAUAAUUCUAUAACUUUGUAUUCAAAAGGCACGACGACAUCAUUAUCCUCGACUGCGAGGAGAACCUCAACGACGGGAAGACCUACACCUACUUCUCGAGCAUCGCGAAGCUCUACGGCGGCGGCAGCGGGGCCGAGGGCGGCCGACGGCCGCCGUACGACUACGUCAUGAAGGCGGACGACGACCUAUUCGUGCGGCUCCUGACGCUGAUCGAGUCGCUGCGGCCGAUGCCGCGGGACGACAUGUACUACGGCGCCGUGAUCCCCUGCGAUAGCAUGGACCCGUUCCGAGACUACAUGUCGGGGAUGGGGUACAUCCUGUCGUGGGACCUGGUGGAGUGGAUCGGGUCAUCGGAGGCGGUGCGGAACAAGUCGGCGGGCGUCGAGGACAUGCUCACCGGAGAGUGGCUGCGCACGGCGGGGAAGGGGAAGAACCGGUUCAACGCGAAGCCGGCCAUGUACGACUUCCCUAUACCAGUGCCGAUCGACGCGUGCUCGCACGGCUUCGUCCCCGACACCGUCGCCGUCCACCGGCUCAAGGACAACCCCAAAUGGGCCACCACCUUGAAGUACUUCAACUUCACCCAGGGUUUGAAACCAUCCAAGUUUUAUCGUAUAGAUUAAUUGAACGUUUUUUUCUCUUAAUUUCUAAGGAGUUUGUAGUUUGUAACUUGUAUACGUACGUUACUUGGACAGAUAAUGUGGACACACAAUGCUAGCGCCACUUUGUUGAGUAGCUUCUAAAAUUUAAUUUUAAUUUAAGAAUUUUUUAUUUAAAUUUUAAUACUGUAUUAAUUAAACAGUGAAUUUAGAUAGAGUCCAGUGAAGGGGAAAAAAAAAACAAAAAAGAGUUCGCAUAUGGCGUAUAUAUCAAAUGUUUCAAACAAAAUAUGAAGGAGCUCCUCAAUGAAGUCACUCAUAAAAUGCAUAAAUUAUACUUCAAUUUAUUUAUUCAUAAACAUUGACCUUGCUUAACUCCUAUAUAAUAAAUAAUAUGAUAAGACGAGAGGUCGUUAAUAUAGAAAGAGGUUUUAAAAACUCAGAGGCCUCAAUAGAUCUGUUUAAAUGCAAUUAUAUUUCAUUUUGGAGCAGUCCCUUAUGUCAGAUAUUAAUCAUGAAUAUAAAAAAAUAUGUAUUAGUCUAGACCGGGGAUACCUAUACUCUUAUAAGUAUGACCCUUUUAUAAUCAUAAAUUUUCGGCUAUUGGAUAAAGAGAUAUGCGAUUAGGAUAAUAAUGGUCUCAGUUAAGAUGAUUAUGUUCUCCUAGGAGCUGUUUGGCUCGGGUAUAAAAGAGGAAAUAAAGAGAAUAUUCCCUCUUUAUACCCAAAUAAAAAAAGAGGGGGGUGGGAAUUAUUGUUCCCAUCUUACCGGGGUAAGGUGGGAACAAUAGUUCCCACCCGGUUGGAAACAAGCUUGUUCCCACCCACGAGAGAGAGAGAUAUUGAUUCUGAUUUUAAAUUUAAAUUUUUAAAAUUUAUAAUUUAAAAUUAUAAAUUUUAAAAUUUAAAUUUUAAAUUUGAUAUUUUUAAAUUUAAAUUUUAAAUUUGAUAUUUUUAAUUUUUAAAUUUAAAAUUUGCUAUUAUAUUUUUUUGAAAUUUAAAUUUGGUCUUAAAUUUAAAAUAUGAUAUUUAAAAUUAUAAUUUUAAAUUUUAAUUUUAAAUUUUAAAAUUUAAAAGUUAAAAUUUUUAAUUUUCAAUUUAAAAUUAUAAGUUUAAAAUUUAAAAAUUUAAAUUUAAUUAUAGGGAUAAUAUUAUUAUUAUCUAUUUAUAACUGAUAACUAUUCCUCUUAUUCUCAAUAACCAUCUAAACGCAAUUUUUUUAGUUCCAACUUAUACUCAUAUUUACAUCCAAACAAAAAAAUAUUCUUGUUCUUAUAAAAAUUCAUAUUUGUAUCUAUUCCUGGUAUAACUAGUUCCUACUAAUUCCGGAACCAAAUCUCUUUAUACUUAAGUUUUCGACCGUUAGAUCUAUGUUUUUGAACAAUUUCACCUGUUAGAUUAUACUAUUCAACCAACCAUUCAUUCAACCCUAGAUAAGAGUAUAGUAGCCGGACUCAUUAAUCUAAUUAACUAGUUAGGGAGGUAAUUAUUAUUAUCUUUAGACUAAAAAUUUUCAACAUAAAAUUAAUUGUACUUCUUGUAUCUUAUUUUCAGUGGUUUAAAAAGAUUUAAACUGAACCGACUGAAUAAUCUCGCUACAGUGAUGCUUUAAAUCCGGUUCGGCUCGGUUUAAUAAAAAAAAAAUAUACGAAAAAUCGCACCGAACCGGCCUAUGUUAACGGGCCGGGCUCAGCCCCGAACUCUAAACCUCCGAGCCCAACUCAGGCCCGGGCUUAAAUCCUUUUGCUCCCUCUCCCCGACCCCACCUUCUCCCUCUUCUCGCCGGCGCCGGCGACGCGGUGCCACCGCGACGGCGGCGGCGCCGCCGUGCUCCGCCGCCUCGGUAUCUUCCUCGGCCUCUCCUUUCAUUCGUCGGAGUUCCUCCCAUUAACAAUGUAUGGAUGGAAACGAAACCCUAACGAUCUCAAUCGCUUACACUGGUGCAUUUUGAUCCCUUUUUUGUGAACUGUUCCUUUGAUUUGAUAUCUCUGCUGAGUAGCAAUAGUUGAUGAAUUAUCGAGUGAAUUGUGCAGAUUAAUCGAUCCUCAUUUGAUAAUGAGUUCUUCAGAUUGGGAUAGUUUAGGAAAAUAUGUGCAAAAUGAUGUAUUUUACAUUGUUCUAGAUUAGGUUGAUACCUUAACAAUAUUAAACAUACCAAAUUUGUUCUUGAAUCUUAGGGUAUGCUCAUACCAAGUAGGGUUUAAUCCUGCGUCUAGCUUGAGAAUGAUUCAACUGUAGAUAAGUAAACUAGAAUACAGAUCAAGCUCAAAUUCUGUUUAAUUUUAGCCUGAGUAUAUGGUUCAUUGCUUAAUUCAAGCAAAUAUAACUCUUGUGAUGUCGUGUUUAGACUUGCACUGGCAUAUAUUUUUGCCCUUUGAUCUAUGUCAUGAAUAUGUUUUGGUGAUAUAGAUUUGAGUUUGAUCCAGUUAGAGUUUGUCUCAAGUUGCAGCUCGGAACAAAUCUCAAUCAUAAAUAGAAAGAUUGGGACUGGUUGUUUGUUUUUGAACCCGGGAUUUAGCCGGCACAAGUCAUUCAUGAUUCACUUGAACUGUUUGGCAUAUGCAGGAACUGGACAUAGAAAUUUAGAUGUUUCUUAAGUAGUCUUUCAUUACUAUUAUUUAUUUAUUUGUUAUUAUUUGAGACUUGAGUAAUUAUUUAGAUACUUGAAAUUUAGGAUCAUAUAAUGAACUUUAGGAUCACUGAUAACUACAUUACUGGGCUUGGCUUCAAAGAGAAAACUACGAUAACUUAUCGUCCACCGGUGUCUCUCGAACAAUCAACAAAGCCACUGACUCAGACUCCUCUCUUCCUGCUUGGAAAUUGGGGUCUUUCGGAGAUACAAUUAAGUCAUUAUCUUGCAACCCUCUAUUAGAAACCAAUAUAAUCAAAUUUUUUAUUUUUUAAGAUGUUUAUAGAUCACACAUACACACUCUUUUUCACAUGUGUAUAAUUCGAAUUCUAGAUCUACAUAUGAGAAAGCGGAUACAUAUCACCUACUCUAAAAUGUGGCUUUUUGUAUUAUAUUAGUCAUUAGAGGAGAGUCUCUACCUUGCUGGAACUAGUCCAACAACAUUAGUGUUACAAGAGUACUGUUUGAUUGGAUAUGCAUUUGUGGGCAUUCAAGUGUGUCACUGUGUAUGUCUUGCGUGCUUAUCACUCUGCUUGUACUCCCUACAACAUGCUCUCCAGUUCAGCUACAAGGACCAAAACAAAGGCGCCUCCAUUUUCAACCCACUUGCAUUGAGAUUGGUGCUGCACGGGGCAGGCUGUGUCUGUGUUUGUUUGAAGUUGGUACUAUCCGAUUAGAUUGAUUGAAGCUUUAUGGCGAACUCUAAUAAGGUGAAGUUGAUUAGUCAAUUUUCGCCUCCUGCGUAUAAUAGUAGCUAGUUCGACAACCUUUUAGGCUUCAAGUUCAUCUCGAAUGCUAUGUCUAAUUUGAAUCUAACAAUUCAAUUGCGCCUGAUUUACAAUUUAAGUAAUGAACUUGAUAUAAUGCUUCACGGAAUAGAAGGUCUCUUAGCUUUUCUUCUUAUAUAUGUUUACGAGUUAGUAUUUGAAACACUCGGUAGUUGUGAUUUAAAAUUCUCUAACAUGUACACCGCUAAUUCAUCAGUAACAUUUCGAGAAAGUUUAAGAAAAUGUAGUGGUAUUUGUGACGAUAUUUAUGUUCAAAUUUUGACUUAUAAGUUCUACUUUGAAUAUAUUUUUGUUAUAUUAGUACCAGCAUUGAAACCCUAUGCCUCAUCCCAUGUGCUAGGGAACACUACUAACCUAUCCAGGUGGGGCAUUGGGCACUAGGCAAUCCAGUACAGGGUGGAGAAAGAACCAAAAGAUAAGAUUAAGAAAGAGAGUGGGGGGAAGAGUGAGGGAAUAUAUGCCUUCGAUCUCAGUAGCACCAGGUCCACAUGUGAGAGUCCUUUUAUAUUUUAUUCAUUUAUUGAUCACUGUAGUUGUUUUAGAAACCUUAUGAACCUUUGGAUUCUACUGCCCCAUCAGACCUUUUCACCCUCUGCUCCCUCUGAUUCGAUUCUCUGUAUAGAGACCAAUUAAAUACGGGCUCUAUAGUACGUUACACUCUAGAGAAAAUGUUAUAUAUGUUCUUUGUUUAAUCCAUCCUAUGACCUCGUUGGAUUGAUCUCUUUUGAGUAGUUAAAUACAUGGUCCAAUAGGUGGCAAGAGAUUGUAUAAAAUUUUGUAAUAAGGGAAUAGGGGAUAGGGAUUUGCAUCACUAAUCGAGGGGGUUUAGACCAAUUAUGAGCCUCUUGUUUGCUGCUUCUUUGUUUCUGCAGGUUCUCCAAGGAUGUUGGGAAGUGGGUCAAAGCUGGUUCUUUGCUGAAAUUAAUGGUUGUGGAGGUUUCUCCAAUGCUUCAGUUUUUUUUUUUUUUUUUUUUUUACCCAGGAGAUCGAGAUCAUUUGGCAACAUAGUAUUACUAUUGCAGAUUUAAUCUAUUUUAGAGUAAACUUUUAUUAGAAUUUAAUUUAUAAAAUGUUAGAGGUGAGGAUUGAGUUCACCAUGAUGCGGAAGUGGAGGAGUUUAAAUUUCAUUCUAGGGUUAAUUUCUUCAAUGCACUCCUCAAAAGUGAUAAUUUCAUGAAUAUCCCUUCAAAGGGUAAAAUAUUAUUGGUGCUCUUUUAUAUAUAAAGGAAAAACUUCAAAAACGCCUCAUGUGGUUUUGUACUUUUUUAUUGUAAUACCCUGUGAUUUAAAGUGUAUUAAGUUAGUAACCUGUGGUUUCUCACUUUAUCACUUUAGUACCCUGUGGUUUAAAGUGUAUCAAAUUAGUACUUUAUGAUUUAUUUUUGUAUCAACUUAGUACCCUGUGGUUUUAUUUUUGUAUCAAGUUAGUAUCCCGUGGUUUAAAAACCACAGGGUACUAAAAUAAUAAAGUGCGAAACCACAUGAUACUAAAGUGAUAAAGUGCGAAACCAUAUGGUAUUAACUUGAUACACUUUAAACCACAGGGUACUAAAGUGAUAAAGUGCAAAACCACAUAGUACUAACUUGAUACAUUUUAAACCACAGGGUACUAAAGUGAGAAAAAGUGAAACCACAAUGGGGGUAUUUGAAGUUUUCCCAUAUAUAAAAGAGUUUAGGGUUUAGAGGAAGGGCCUAGGGUUUAGUGGAGUAUUUGUGAUAGAUUUAUAUAUUUAGAAGAGUAUUUAUAAUAGAUUUAUGUGUUUAGAGGAGUAUCAAUGAUUUAGAUUUUGAAACAGCAUUUAUAAUAUUUUUUGGAGUUUUAGAGAGCUAUGUUUGAAACUGUCUCUUCAUUCUAAUAAUAUAAUAUAUCAAGUCACUCAAAAGUACAAUCUUUUUUGUAACAAUUUUGCAUGUUGCUAUGAUAGAUUGCUUAUAAAUUGAUAAAUAUAUGUGGCAUCUUUGAAGCAUUUAUAUAAGUAAUCGAAAGCCUCUACAGGAUUUGUAGAGACAUAUUAAUAAUCUGUAAGGAUAAUAUUUUAGAGUACAUAAGCAAACUAAUAGUUUAUCUGCCUCUGAGGAGUAGAAGAGGGUCAAAUGCAUGGUCGAAUGUAGUUCUUUUUAACAGGAUAUGAAUAAAUUGUUUUGUGAUAUGUGCAAGUUAAUUAUACAACUUCAAAUUUUAUUCAUGUGAACUUUUGUAUAAAUGGGCAUACAGUAAGUAUUACUCAACCUAAACACAAGUGCCCUUUUCUCUCUCUCUCUCUCUCUCUCUCUCUCUCUCUCUCUCUCUCUCAAUGCCUGUGCCAAUAUAUUGUAUUAGAAUUUUUCUUGGGUUAACCACAUAUAUAUCCUUGUUUUAAUAGGUCUUAAAUUUCUCAACCACCCUUCUUUUAGUCCCAGAAGCCACUUCUCUUUCACCCUCUCUCUCUCUCUCUCUCUCUCUCUCUCUCUCUAGGUUCCUUGUAGACCAAGGCUUGCUUGUAUUGUUUGGCUAUGAUGAUCUCAGCACAUCAGAUUGAUUUGAAAGGCCCAAGUUGCUAACAGCUAAGAUCAUUAUUCAUAUGAACUUGGUGAAUUAUGAUGAACCUGAAAAGAGUAAAAUGGAUUGGAGAUUUCCACAACACAAAAGUGGGCUUCUCCAUAUUAUAGUCAUAUUACUAUAAACUGCUUAGUUUUAGAGUAUCUUUCGUCUUGUGGCAGAGAUCUUAGCCUUCUCAGCUGAAUCUAUGGGGUCCCAUUUGUGCAAUGUGGUUUUUUAGACCAAAUUCUCUGUGGUGCUCUGUUUCCAAACAUAAUGACAACAUAUGAGGAAUUUGCUUUUAAUGAAUACAAUUAAUAAUUAACAACUCUUCAUUAUUUUACAUUCAUAUCCUUAUUCCUGCAAAGUAAUCUACUAAAAUGAGGGGUAAAAUUAGAGAGUAAUAUGUCAGUAGAUAAUUGGAGUAAUAGAGUAUGUUAGAGAAGGAAAGGACUGGGGGAAGUUUUUGGAAAGUGCAUUAAUGUUGGGGAUUUACACAUAAUCUCUUGCAAAUCUUUGAGUAUUAAUUGUUUCCAAAACCCUCCGUAUAAGAUAAGACCCACUAUAAAAUGUUGGGAGGGAGAAAGAUUUAAACAUGAUCUCUAGUAGAUCUUUGUGUAUCAAUUGUUUCCAAGGCCAAAUUGCAUGUAUAAAAAUCUCUCCGAUAUCUAUCUACAUGUCAGGUAAAAAUCAUGCACCAGGUGUGUACCAUGUAGGCCAUGCACGACCCAACGUAUUUCAUAUGCGCCAAUCCACGUUGGAUGAUGUGUUUUAGUCAUUUUCUUGCUUUAGAAUUACUUUUAAUUAAUUUUAAGAUUGAGUUGAAAGUAUAAAAGCUUUUUUUAUUUUACUUUUGUUUCUAUUUCCAACAAUUGUUACCUUAUUAUAAUGUUUGGUAGUCAAUAAAAGUCACAUAAAUCUUACUAUACUUGAAAACAAAAAAUUAGAGCUUUCUUUUUUCUUUUUUUUUUUUUUUUUGCGCAUAAGAGUUGUCGCAAUGUUUCUUCUAAUAAUUUUGUUUUGUUAAGCGUGAUGCACCAAGUGCAUCAAAUGAUGCUUGGAAGGAGAGUAGGGAGGGUUAGGACAAAGAACGAUUUUUCUCCUCCCUUUUUUUUUNUUUUGACAAAGAAUCCACAAGGGCGUGUAGGAAACUGGGAGGCGCUUCAAGGCUCAAGCUACAGGGUACAGCACCUGCUCUGCAUGCUUCUAUAUAUAUAUAUAUAUAUAUAUAUAUAUAUAUAUAUAUAUAUAGAUAUUCCCCUGCCUCCUUUCAUUGUCUCUAACGUUUCUUCUUUGCAGUCCCCACAUGCAUACAUCCCCAUCGCCACCCUCUACAUCUUAAUUUCUUAAACCCCCCUCCAUUUUUCUACAAACCAAAGUUUUUUUUUUUUGAAAAAAGUAAGAAUCACAUCCUUAUUUACCUACAGGUAUGCCAUCUUACUAAAUCUUUUCUGUCUCUCUCUUCUUUUUUUUUGUUUUUCAAAAAGACAGAUUCGAGAGUAACCCUAAACAGAGAGAGGCCCGCUAUAAAUACCCUCCCCACCUUCUUGUAGGGAGCAUAACAUGCAAUAGAAAACAGAGUCUUUCUUUCUUUCUCUUUUUCCACUACUCUGUUUUUUCAGUUAAAAACAGAGUUUUCUUUUUCUCUCGGCUUCUUUUGCGAUACUUCCUCCUGUUUACAGCAGCAGGAUGAAGGAGUAUUGGUGGACUUCGUUGGCGUCCCUGCUGGGCGCCCUGGCCUUCGUGCAGAGCCUCCUCCACGCCGUCUUCCCCGCGGAGCUGCGCGUCGCCUUCGCCACGCUCCUCCGCCGCCUCUCCGGCGCCUUCUCCCCCUACUGCUACUUCGAAAUCCCCGAGAUCGACGGCGUCAACACCAACGAAUUAUACAAUGCCGUGCACCUCUACCUGAGCCGCGCCGCCGCCGCCUGUGCCGCGGGCUGAACUCGUCGGCGCUGACGUUCGGGCUGUCGAGCAGCGACCGCGUGGCGGACGCGUUCCGCGGCGCGGGGGCGGCGUGGGAGCACGUGGCGACCCCGCGCGCGGCGGCGGGGUUCUCGUGGCGCCCCUUCCCGGAGGAGCGGCGCGCCUUCACGCUCCGCAUCCGGCGCCGCGACGCGCCGCUGCUCGUCCCCUCCUACCUCGACCACAUCAUGGACAGCGCCGCCGACAUCCGGCGCCGGAGCCAGGAGCGCCUCCUCUACACCAACGCCCGCGGCGGCGCCGGCGCCGUCGUGGUCGGCGCCGUGGACGCGGCCCACCGCGGCGGGCACCCCUGGGAGCCGGUCCCCUUCAAGCACCCGAGCACCUUCGACACCCUCGCCCUCGACCCCCGCCGCAAGGCCGAGAUCAUGGCCGACCUCCGCGACUUCGCCGAGGGCCGCGACUUCUACAGCAAGACCGGGCGCGCCUGGAAGCGCGGGUACCUCCUCUACGGCCCCCCCGGCACCGGCAAGUCCAGCAUGAUCGCCGCCAUGGCCAAUUUCCUCCGCUACGACGUCUACGACCUCGAGCUCGCUGAGGUCCACACCAACUCCGAGCUCCGCAAGCUCCUCAUGAAGACCACCUCCAAGUCCAUCAUCGUCAUCGAGGACAUCGACUGCUCCGUCAACCUCGCCAACCGCGGGACGGCCAAGCGCCCGCCGGCCGCCGCCGACCCCGCGGCCGACAUGAUCGGCGGGGACGACGCGCGGACGGUGACGCUGUCGGGGCUGCUGAACUUCACCGACGGCCUCUGGUCGUGCUGCGGGAGCGAGCGGAUCUUCGUGUUCACCACCAACCACGUCGAGAAGCUCGACCCCGCGCUGCUGCGGUCGGGGAGGAUGGACGUGCACGUGUUCAUGAGCUACUGCACCUUCCCGGCCCUGCGAAUUCUCAUGAAGAAUUACUUGGGGAUCGACGACGCGGGCGCGGGCGAAGAGAAGGAUGGGCUGUGGAGGGAAUUGGAGGAGGCGGUCGGCGAGGCGGAGAUGACGCCGGCCGACGUGAGCGAGGUGCUGAUCAAGGGUCGACGAAUGUGGGGGUGCGGCGGAGUUGAGGAAGAAGAGGAUGAUGGAAGGGACCGAGGAGGAAGAGGAAGAGGAGGAGGAGGAGGAGCAGGAGAAGCGGGCAUUGGAGAGCCCGAAGGAAGGAGGAGGAGGAGGAGGAGGAGGAGGAGCCAUGGGUGAUGAAGCUAAUGAAAAGGAGGAGAAGGGUGGGGAGUAAACUGUUGAGAGGGUUGGGACUUGGGAGGGAACUUUAGGAGCUUUGAAUUUUUCUUUUUCUUUUUCUUUUUCUUUUUCUUUUUUUUCCUUUGCUUGAGUUUGUUGUCCUUCUCUCUUUCUCUGAAAGAAGAUUAAAAAAAAAAAAAAGGAAAAAAGAAAAAUAUGCGCAAGGGUCCUCUGGUGUUUCUUUCGCAUUUGUUGAGUGUCCCGAGUUAUACAUCUUGUUGUUGAUCUGGGUCAUACAUACGCUGCACUGUUGUUCCCUGGUUCUUUAGAGGAGGUUUUUAUUAGUGUCUGUUUGGUUCGGCAUUUCGCGCAUUGCAACUCUUGCCGCAAAUUGUAUCUGUUGCAGCUCACUCCGCUUCGCACCGCUGGGCUAAACAGAGUCUUAGUUUUAUUCGAUCUCGAUUACUUACAUAACAUAUCUACAUAAUUGGCAUAUAAUGAAUUGACAAAAUGGCUACUUUGCGCGCACUCUCUACUCACAAAAAUAUCCUUGGUGCAAUUUACACUCUUGAUUUGCAAACACUAUCAUCUUCAGAUGGUGUGAAAUUCGCAGAUAAGAGGUCUAAAUCAUACGAAAGUGUUUUAUUCAUUCUUAUGGUUAUGCAAUAUUAUGUGAUCUUAAUUAGCUUAUACAAAGAGAGAGAAUGUAAAGUUUGAUAGGAGACACUAAUAGAAAAGGUAAAAAUAGAAAAUAAGAUAGAAAUUUAUGUCAUAAAAUGAAGAAUUCGAAAAUUUAAAUCUAGAAACUCUUGGAGCAGAGAGAGUUUUGAACUGACUUUGGCCAUUCUACAUAGUCUAUGAAUAAGAUCAAUCUGAUAGUUCUUUGAUCUCCAAUCGGAUUAACGCGUUUGUAAUUUGGAUUAAAGCGUAUGAAAUCGCUAAUUAGUCUUAAAAAAUGGCCCCUGUGAGUACUUUUAGGUAUGUGAAAAAUUUGUUCCUUUCAAGCUUAACUAUGCGAGGAUAUAUAGCAUAGGGAAAAGGCCUAGAGAUCGAUCCAUCUUAUUUUUCCACAAAAGGUGACACGUUACCUGGGGGGAUUAUUGAUCAAUGUCUCACCCCAUAUUGCAAAAGAAUCACUAAUCUUUUUUAAGUCGAAAGUUGAUGUGUCCUAUGCAUUUAUUAACCUCACACUAAGAUUGGUCAAAGAUGUGAAUGUUGGUUAAGAUUCUUCUGUUUGAAGUUUAUUUAGCCCAGUAUUUUAUAGUUUGUUGCCAAGGAUGUUUUUUGCAGCUUUUUUGUGUUUUAUUAAUGGAGAGUGUCAAUGGUUGGUGUAUCUGGUUCUUUUCAUUUUUAGUACAUGCAUGAAGAUCCCUAAAAUAAAUAAAUAAAUAAAUAAAUAAUUCUCUUUCCAUUUUUUGGUGGAUUUGAAAUUUGGUUUGUGGUAACUGCACUAAUUUUUAUCCUCUACACCCUCUUUGGCUGGGGAACACAAGGGGGGAUAAGGAUAAGGGGUUAUCCCCCACUUGUUCCCCAACCACCCCUAAUUUUAUUUUUAAAAUUUAAAAUUUAAAAAAUUAAAUUAGAAUUUCAAAUUUUUAAAAUUUAUAAUUUGUAAUCACAAAAUUAAAGUUUAUAACUCCAAAUUCUAAAUUUUAAAUUUUACAUUUGAUAUUUUAAAUUUUUCAAAUUUAAAUUUGAUCUUAAAUUUAUAAUUUGAGAUUUAAAAUUUUAAAUUUUAAAAUUUUUAAUUUUCAAUUUUAAAUUUUAAAUUUAGUUUUUAGAUUGUGAAAUUUAAAAGUCAAAAUUUUAAAAUUUUAAAAUAUAAAUAUAAAAUUUAAAAAUUCAAAUUAAAAUAUAAUGAUAGCGGCAAUAUCAUUAUUUUCUAUGUAUAACUACCCACUAUUUUUCUUAUUUCAUCUUAUACUUCCAACUGCUAUUUUUUCUUAAUCCUAAGAACAACCUAAUUUUCGUUAAAAUAUAAAAUUGGUUUAGUUCUUGCUUAUAGCUGAACUUGUAUCAAUCCCUGUAAUAUACAGUUCUUACUUAUACCCGAACCAAACGAAGCCUUAAUAAUAUGCUUAACUCGUAGGGGCGAGUGGUCCAAUUUUUAAACCAUAAACAUCUUUUUCGCUUUUGCAUAUAAUAAAGGUUAAAACAAACAUAAUUUAUUUAAAUUAUGAACCAUCUUGAGUCGACCACCUAACCUUUCAAGAUUUUGAUUCCAUUAACUAACCUUUUAACAAAUUAAAUUUGAAUCAAUUUUUACUGCAUUUUGACUUCACAAUUGAAUGCGUCGUUUAUCUUUACAAUUUUAGCUAAUAUAUUUCAAACAAUUUUUAAACCAUAAAUUUAUUAAAUUAAAUAGAUUAAAAUAUUGAAUAAUAAAUUAAAAUUUCGAAACAUGGGAUAAUUAACUCAAAAUAAUCUAUAUAUUUUGUGACAUUGAGAGUUUGGUGAGCAUACUUAGUAUGAUAUUUACACAAAUGUGGAGCAAUGAUUGGUUUCGUAGACGACGGUUGUGGGUGGGAGUUAAAGGAGGAUUGCGGAAGGCUGCAGGUUCCCAGCCACCAGCAAAAGUGGGGCGGACAGCUUAGAUAUGGUUUUGAUGGUUUCAAAGGACUGAUUGAUGAUGGAAUAUAAUUUUUCUGAUCAGGCAGAGCCAGACUCUGCAGAAUCCCUGCUAAACCAAGACAAACUGGUCCUUGAUACUUUAUUCUCUCUCUCUCUUUCUCAUACACACACCAUGACAAGUGAUUCGAAAUAACAACACGUCGCGCAGAUCGCACUUAUUUGGACCGGAAGAUCGAUCUUUUUAGCUUCUGGCUCGGGUAUGAUAUUACAAAAAUAGUACGGUGCGCACUACAACAGAAUUAGGUUAUAGAGAUACAUGUUUGGGACACUUUUAAGUAAGUGUCCCAUUUAUGCUAAAACUUGAAAAAACAUCUAUUUAUGCCUAAAUAUAAAGUUCAAUCCAAUCAGAAAUAAAAGAUUACUCUACUCAACCCACCACACCCAGUCCAUUGUACCCGAUUACAAACAGAAAAGAAAAAAAAGAAAAAUCAAUUACCAUCUUUUCUUCUCUCUUCACUCAAUCCACUGAAAUUCUAGACGAAGAGCUUUUCCUGUCGUCCUCCUCCGCCACCGCAGCCAACGAGAUAAAGUUUCGGCGGUUGCUAAAUACUUAAAUAAGUGUUGGUAAAUUAGCAGCACUCUUUUAGAUUAUAGCGACACACUUUAACUGUUACUAUAUACCUAGCGACCCCACAUAUAGCAACACUUUUUAAAAGUGUCAGUAAUUUUAGCUAGCAGCACUUUUUUGACAUAUACCUAUAUUUAAAAGUGUCGCUAUAGACCGCUUUUGUUGUAGUGGCGUUGCAUCUGAAUGUGCAAUAAUGAGAGUAGUUCUAUUUGCUUUUGUUUGUGAUCGCACAGCGGUGAAAUAUCAUGAGUUUUACAGUUCUUCUGAUAAAAGCUAAAUUUAUCCAUUUCCAUCUUAAGUACUUUUGCUUAUCCAAUAUUAUUAGAUCAUUUUGAUACCAAACGGUCCCGAGUUUCAUUUUAGCCUUCGAAUUUUUAAUAAGCGUGUUAGUUGUACUCAGAAUAACUAUGCGGACAAAUAUGUUAGUUGUACUCGAAAUUUUGAAUCUUAAAGAAAAAAUUUGUUAGCUGUAUUCACUAUAAUGAGCCUUUUCAUGAGGAAAAAAAAAAAAAAAAAAAAACAGAGAGAAAAAAAAUAUGCAUGGAUAUGCAGAUGAAUAUUUCUGGGUACGGACGAAAGUGAAAUACUUUAAAAAAUUUAAGAUAUUUAGUUGUAAAAUUAUAAUGGACAAAAAGUUAGGAUCUAACAAGCAAAUUUUACCUUGCUGGAAAAAUAGCUAGUACGUUCAGCAGCCUCUUUUUUUUUUUUUUUUCUUUUUUUUUUGAGAGAUAGAUAGCACAUUACCCGCUUCGUUUAUUUCAUUUAGAAUUUAGAAAUAAACUUAGCUGGAUAUGUGAAUCAACUAGGAUUCAAACUUGAGACCUCGGAUACCAAUCGUUAAAUUUUUUGCCACUUGCUCCAGGGACAGUCAGUCAGCAGCCAAAUUAUUAGACUGACAAAACGGCUACUGCUUCUCUGAACAGCAAAUUAAUCACACACCACCGUCUCUCAAAGUGGACACCCAUCACAAUGAUUCAAGUGAAACCUAUCAUUUCCCUUUUCACAAAGCUUUUGAUUAAGAGGUUGAGCGGAUCUUGAGCUGUAAUCAAUUUGCCCCCCAGGCCCAUAUCCAGCCUGUUAGUGUAGGGGCCCAAUUUUCUCACCCAAAAAGCGCGGCUUUGACGAGAAGCGCCUCUCAACUAGAUCUCAUUGAGACAGUCCGGCGAGCCGUAUGAUACAGUGCAUAUUUUUUGCGUAAAUAAUAGAAUUAAAAUUCCACAUUUUAAUCGAUCGUUCCUAAAGCAAGUGGCAAAGGACUUGAUGGUUGGUACUCGAGACUCAAGUUCGAAUCCUAAUUGAUUCCCAUUUCUUACUAAGUUUAUUGCUAAAUGACAUAAAACGAUGCGGGUAGCGUGCUACCUAUCUCUCAAAAAAAAAAAAAAACUAGCGCAAGUUGCAAAGGGCUUAGUGAUUGGUAUCCAAGGUCCCCAAGUUCGAAUCUUAGUUAAUUCACAUUUUUAGCUAAGUUUAUUUUUAAAUGAAAUAAAUGAAGCAGGUAGUCUUUUACCUAUCUCUCUCAAAAAAAAAAAAAAAUUCCACAUUUAAGAAUGAGACGCUUCUCAUUCGAGUUUUUUUUUUUUCUUCCCUCCUGAACAGGGGCCAAACAAAAGCAAGCAAAACGGAGAAAAUACUAAUCAUUUGGUUCUAUAUAUCCUAUUUAUUACGACGCGACUAUAAGCCCAGCAUGUCCGUGUCGGACACGUGCUUGUCCGUAUAGAACUCGUGUCUGAUGCGGGCGCCCCAUAAUUAAGCACGUGUUCAUAUAUGGUGCAUCCCAUUAAUUUUUUUUAAAUUUAUUUUGUUAUCCGUAUAUAAUAUAAGAUGAUACAUAUUUUGAUUUUGUGAUGAAUGCAUAUAAAUUUUUUUUAGACAAUAUAAAAAAUUAUAUAAAGUGGGGAAUUUUUUUUCUUAAAAUAUACGAGAAAUAUAGCAAUAUUUUACAAAAUUAACAUUUUAUAUAUAACAAAUAUAUAUUAUUGAGUUGGGCUAGAAUAUUGAUAGCAAAAGGCCUUUUUUGCUAUCAAAUUUUUAACCUUUAGAUCAAUUAUUUUCAUCAUUUAUAAUUAUUGGAUUAAAUAUUAUAGCACAGUGGGGACCACUCAAUUCUAGGAGGGUCACUCAACUCUAAGGGACUAAUAUCAUUCUAAUUCUAUAAUUUUUCAUCCAAAGAUUAAAAAUUUGAUAGUAAAAAGGAUCUUUUGCUAUCAACAGUAUACCAGCCUAGCUCAUAUAUUAUUAUAUUAAUAAUAUUAUACUUUAUUAGUGGUGUUUAAAUCAUGUAUAUGUUUUAAUUUUUGAAACUAUUGAGUCACCGUAUCAGAAUCGUGUUACAUUCUGUAUCUCGUGCUUGCCUCCAUAAAGCCUAGAUUCUAUCCCUUUGGACCAUAUCUAUUCAUGGCCAAUGUCAUGAUUCCUCUUUGUUUGUUAUGUCACUUUUUUGUUUUGUUCAAAUUGUUUAUGGAUUACUCAUGCUGUCAAGCAGAGGAUCCAACGUUUGUUACAUUCAUUAUUAGAGGAUUAUGCAACAAAGAAUGUGAAGUGCACCAAAGUUUUUUACACUAAAAUUUUCACCCAGUUAACUUUGCGUUACCAUAAAAGAGGGUAUUUGUUACACGGAUCGGAUCCAUUGGUAACCAAAAUCCGGGACCGAUAAACCAGGUACCCCUACUCUAGUUGUAAUAUAUAUAUAUAGAGUUGAGGUAGAAUACUAUCAGUAUUAAGCGAGCCAUUUUACUACCGAUUUGUUUUUGAUGAUAGAGCUUCCAAAUUGACGAUCGGCUUCGUUAAAUAUGAUCUAAACCAUUUAAACUACCUAGAAAUCAAAUUUCAUGCACUUUCGAUAUUGUUCUUUUAUUCAUCAAGUGAACAAAAAAAUGAGUGGCUGAAAAUGAAUACUCUUUAAAAAAUGAUGGUAGGAGUCUUGUAAUCAAGAUCAAGAGUAUAGAUCUUGUUUUAAAUAGUUUAAAGAAUUUUUUUAACAAAAAUUCAAUUGAUUUGGAUAUCUUUACGCCGUUAAACGAGAAAACGCUUCUUAUCGACCAUUAAAAUUACAAAUUUUGAAACUCUUUGAUCAUUAUUGCAAACAAUGUAAGUAAUAAUCUCCUAAUACGUUGUUUCUUACACUUCACGUGGUUUCAAAAAAUGUGAUUUUAAAAGUGGGUCAAUUGAAACGCAAUGGUAUUUUCUCCCAUAAACAAUGUGCCUAGCCUAGGUAACCAUUGGUUUUAGGCCCUGGCUAUUUGGUCCAUGGGGAUGAGAUCAACAUUAUAUAUAUAUAUAUAUCUCAACUCCAUCUUAUGAUAGUCAUAAUUCGCUCGGUAAAAUGAUGGCUAAACAAAAACUACUAUCUCGAAGGUUUAACUGCUAGCCGAAGCAAUUUAUACUAGAUUUGGUAAAUUUGAUGGAUCUUUAGUUUAAAGUACGUGAAAGCUAUAACAAGAAAAUAAGUAGUUCACUUGUUUUUUUACUCACCGACUUUUACUUAUGAGAAAUUUUUUACUACCAUCCUCAGAACAUUAGUUCUAGUUCUCAUAUCUAGAACAAAAUUUAUCAAAUUUCUUAAAAGAUUGUUUUUAAGUUAACUAAACCUAUAGAAAUGCGGCAAUUUGCUCUUUUGCGGAGAAUAGCUGGUAAUUUUAAUGUUUAAAACUUUGGGAAACUAGUAAUCCGUUUACUACAGCUUUUCUAAAUUUUAAACUAAAGAUUUGUGAAGUUCACCAUAUCUAGUACAAGUUGCCUCGGCUAGCAGUAAACCUUCAAGAUAGUAGCUUUUGUUUAGCCAUCAUUUUGCCGAGCAAAUGAUGGCUAUCGUAAGAUCGAGUUGAGAUAUAUAUAUAUAUAUAUAUAUAUAUAUAUAUAUAUAUCUCAGGCCGAUGAUAGGAUAAUUAUCCUAACCCUGGGAACAGGAUAGUUCAGCUAGACUAAUUAGCCUUGAAGUUUAACUAUUAGCCGUGGCAACUUUAACUAGAUGUUUUAAUCUUUACAAAUCUUUGGUUUAAAACAUUUUAAAUUUUUGGUAAUAGUUCAAGUAGAAUUCUCAACUUUUUACUUGCCAGUAUUUACUUAUUGGAAGAAUUUUAUCUCCAAUCUGAAAGAGUUAAGUAUUAGUCUCAAUAGUUUGUAAUAGAUUUAUCAUAUUUUUUAAAAGAUAGUUUUUAAGUUCGUUAAACCUAAUGAGAUGUGGCAAUUUGUUCGUUUACCGAGUAUAUCCGGCAGUUUUUAACAGCUAAAAUGCUGUGAAACUAGUGGUACAUUUAUUAAAAAUCUUAAAUACUUUAAAUCAAAGAUCUACAAAGUUUAUGAGAUCUAGUUGAAGUUGCCGAGGCUAGUAGCUAAGCCUUAGAGUUAGUAGUUUUUGUUAAACUAUCCUGUUCACGAGGAUAGGAUAAUUAUCCUAUCAUCGGGAUCGGAUAUAUAUAUCUCUCUCUCUCUCUCUCUCUCUCUCUCGGGCCGAUGAUACGAUAAUUAUCGUGCUUCGUGAACCACGAUGGUUCAAAAGGCAGCAAUCUAGGUGGGAAGACUAGUAAAAGUGGACAAUCUAGUAUGAUAAGUUGGUUGGUGGGUGAGUUGGGAUCCCCCGGUUGUAGUAGGAUUGGUGUGUAGAGAAUUAGGUUACCGGUUUUUGAACCAUCGUGGUUACUGAACCACGAUAAUUAUCAUAUAAUCGGGUCAAGAUAUAUAUAUAUCUCUCAACUCGACCUUAUGAUAGCCAUCGUUUGCCCGAGGCAACGGUGGGUAAACAAAAGCUACUACCUCGAAAGUUUAGCUACUAGCCGUGGCAACUUAUACUAGAUAUAGUGAACUUCAUAAAUCUUUAAUUUUAAGUUUAGAAAAGCUGUAGUAAAUGGNUAUAUAUAUAUAUAUAUAGUUCGGCUACUAUACUCUUAUGAGUACGAUUACUUUUGUACUCAUAAGUUAUUUUCGAUGAUAGAGCUUCCGAAUCGAUGAUCCAUACUGUUAAACAUUAUCUAGAGUAUUCGAAACUUCUAAAAAUCAAAUUUUAUAAUUUUUCGAUAUCAUUUACCUUACGAUCAAAAGCUUACAAAAUUGACAAUUUUUAACGGCCGGUAUGAGAUAUUUGCUAGUUUAACGGUGUAAAAGAAUCAGAAUAGGUUGAAUUUUUGAUAGAAAAUUCUAUUCACUAUCUAAAUAAAGAUCAAUAACUCUGAUCUUAAAUUAAAGGAUCCGAUCAUCCAUUUUUAAUGUCGUUCGAUUUUGACCCCUCAUUUUAUUCCCGCUUGAUGGACUUUUUAAUAAUUUCGAAAAAUUACAAAAGUUAUUUUCUAAAAGUUUCAAAUACUCUAGAUCAUGUUUAACGGUGUGGAUCGUCGAUUCGAAAACCCAACAUCAAAAACAACUUAUGAGUACGAAGGGCUCUAUACUCAUAAGAGUAUAGUAGCCCUACUCUCUCUCUCUCUCUCUCUCUCUCUCUCUCUCUAUANGAGAGAGAGAGAGAGAGAGAGAGAGAGAGAGAGCGCUACUAUGCUAUCGGAAGCAUAGAGGAUCUGGUGCUUCAGAAUUUUUUGGCCCUUAAAUCAGCAUCUUUAAUCAUUUUUAAUUUUUAGAUUAAUACUAUUAUUCUGUAGGGACCACUCAAUUCUAGAGGUACUACUCAACCCUGAAAGAACCGCAAUCAUCUCAACCGUACAAUUCUUAAUUUAAGGGUUAAAAAAUCGAAAGCACCAGAUCCUCUAUACUUUCAAUAACAUAGUAGCUCUACACACACACACACACACACACACACAUAUAUAUAUAUAUAUAGAGAGAGAGAAAGAGAGAGAGUAGAUCUUGUGUGUUAUUAGGAGCACGAAGGCCUCUGUGCUCCUAAUAGCGGCCUCCGCGCUUCUAAUAGUACACAAGAUUCCAUGGUCCUAAGUCCUUUUCGAUGAUGGAGUUUUCGAAUCGACGAUCGGCUCCGUUAAACUUGAUGUAGCAUAUUUGAAGUAUAUAGAAAAUAAAUUUUGCGAUUUUUCGAUAUCAUUUACCUAUCGAUAGAAAGGGUUCAAAAUUAAUAAUUUUUAAUGGUUGAUAUAUAUUGUUUGCAAGUUUAACGGUGUAGAAAUAUUCAAAUCAGAUGAAAUUUUGAUAGAAAAUUCUUUACACUAUUUGCUGCAAGAUUAAUAUCUCUAAUAAAAAAUUUUAAUGCUAUAUCACUACUUUUUGUGAGAUUUUUAUUUUUAGCCGUUGAUUUUGAACCCUUUCAAUCGUUAGGUAAAUGAUAUUGAAAAUCACAAAUUUCAUUUUCUAGAUACUUCAAAUACGCUAGAUCAAGUCUAACGGAGCCGAUUGUCAAUUCAGAAGCUCCAUCAUCAAAAACGGCUUAGGAGCACGGAGGCCUCCAUGCUCCUACUAACACACAAGACCUACUCUAUAUAUAUAUAUAUAUAUAUAUAUAUAUAUAUAUAAGAGAGAGAGAGAGAGAGAGAGAGAGAGAAGAGAGAGAGAGAAGAGAUAGAUAGGCGCUACUAUACUCUUGAUAUAAACUUUUGUAUCAUAAUUGUUUUUCAUUGAUGAUUGAGUCUCCGAAUCGAGCGACUCCACUCUAUAACAUUAUGAUGUAGAGUAUUUGAAAUUAUCUAAAAAAUAAUUUUGUAAUUUUUAACAUAAAUAUUAUAAAGUCCAUCCAAGCGGGAUACAAAUGAACAGCAAAAUCGAAAGAUAUUCUAAAAAUGGAUAUCUGGAUUCCUCUAAAUUAAAAUUGGAGUUAUUGAUCUUUAUCUAGAUAGUGAAUAGAAUUUUUAAUCAUAUUAAAAAUUCAAUCGUUUCCAGUUAUUUUACACUGUUAAACUAGCAAAUAUCUUAUACCGGCUGUUAAAAUUUGUCAAUUUUGUGAUAUUUUGAUCGUCAGGUAAAUGAUGUUGAAAAAUUAUGAAAUUUGAUUUCUAGAAGUUUAAAUGCUGAUAAUUUUUAACGAUAUGGAUCGUUAAUUCGGAAUCUCUAUCAUAAAAAAUAACUUAUGAGUAUGAGAACGAUUGUACUCAUAAGAGUAUAGUAACCAGACUAUGUAUAUAUAUAGUUGAGCUGGACUGCUAUCGGUAGCAAACGAGCUCCGUUGUCACCUAUAUUUUUUCAAUGAUGGAGCCUCCAAAUCGACGAUCAGCACCGUUGAAUAUGAUCUAUACCACUUGAAGCAUUUAGAAAUCAAAUUACAUAUUUUUCUUAUAUUGUUCUUGUCUAUCAGGUGGACACAAAAAUGAACGACUGAGAAUGAAUAUCUUUUAAAAAAUGAUGAUAGAAAUUUUGUAAUCAAAAUCGAGAAUAUAUAUCUAGUUCUAAAUAGUUUUAAAAAUUUUCUAACUAAAAUUCAAUUAAUUUGGAUAUUUUUACAACGUUAAACGAGAAAACGCCUCAUAUCGAUCAUUAAAAUUAUAAAUUUUGAAACUCUUUGAUUAUUAGGUUAAUGAUGUCAAAAAGAUUUGAAAUUUAGUUUUUACAUGCUUUAAGUGCCGAUUGUCGAUUUGGAGGCUCUAUCAUCGAAAAUAAAUGGAUGACAACAAAGCCAAUUUAUUACCUAUAGCAAAUGGCUCCAUCAUCAAAAUCUCUCUCUCUCUCUCUCUCUCUCUCUCUCUCAAGUUUCUGAAACAGUUUCUCAUCUUCGAAAAGUAGGAAGUAAAGUGUUUGACAAAUAAGCAAUGUAAAGAUUUUGUUCUAAAGAAAGUUAAAGUGUAAAUCCUUUCAGUUUUUCCGCUCAGUUAAACUAAAAAUUCUAUCCAAUAUAUAUAGCAACUCUAUAUGUUAUUAACUAUUAAUCGUACUAAUUUUAUUCACUAAAAAGUGUGCGAAAUUACUAAAUUUGGUGAAAUCAUUGAUAAUUUAAAAUCUCAAAUUUUUUUUGGCUAUUUCCAAAAGAAAACAAAAGUGAAAGGUUCUGAAUUAAAAUUUCAAAAUGGCAUAUAUAUUAUUUCGAGCGGGUGUAUAUACAUUUUACCUUACAUUUUUACCUUUUUAUGGUCUACAUUUAGUUCAAGAGGGCCUGCUAAUUUGAAAUUUAGAAAUUUUAGCCUACUAGUGGUGAUGGGCCGAACUUGUUUGUCACUUUCGUUAAUGGCUCCAUAUAUAUAUUAAACUCAUUUUGGUACAACAUAAUAUUAUUAUUAUUAUUAUUAUUAUUAUUAUUAUUAUUAUUAUUAUCAAUCUCGUAGGUUAUUGGCCGUAGAUGCACCCUUCUGGUUUUCUUACUUCGUCCAGUAUUCGAUUAUGAAAUCAUGUGAUAUCAUCGAAAGCUCAAACCUAAUAAAACUAUAUAUGGAUGUCAGAAUAAGUUAUUCAAAAAUAACUUAUUCGGUAUGAAAAUUUUUUAGCAUAUAAGAUUGUGAUUAAGGCGUUUGAUUUUUGUUUUUUCAAAAGUUGUGUUGUUCAUGAUUUAUUAUAUAAUAGUAUAUUUCAACUAUGAUGUAGUUUAUUUUAUUUUUAAAAAAUAAUUUUAAUGCCAAAUAUGAUAUUUCAUUUUAAAUAUUUGAUCUUACUCAUUAUCUACUAAAUGUAUAAAAUUUUUCAGUAAAUCAAGAGAAUAUACUGAAGAAAAUAUUCAUACAUCGAGACAAGUCCUAUGUAAUUUUAAGUUACUUUGAUAUGAAGUAUUAGAAUUACUAAAUUAAAAUUUUACGAGAGGGAACACGCAUUCUGUUUACUUCAGAAACACGAUUAAAUGUUCAUGAAAUACUUUCGUAAACGGCUCAACAAUUCCUCAAAAAGUACAGUUUGAUUAGUCAACACUAACCAAUCCGAAAUUUAGUAAUAUAUAUGUAAUUAACAAUGCUAACGUAUACGUAAUUUAUGAUUACAUAAAAGGCUAAAUCAUAGAGCUUGAGUGGAUAACAACUUUACCCAAAAGCCCAAAACAAAUUUAUUGCAUAAUUACAAACAAAUGAAAAUAAAUCAACCAACAAAAACAAAUCGAAGAAUCAAAAUUCUCUUCUUCUUCUCCUCCUCUUUUCCCCUCUCCAAUUACUUACAAACUUGUAAUAUUGGAAAAAUAACCACUCAAAUAAUAUUGGUUACUUCCCCAUUAAUCGAACACAUCUAAUUACAAGGAUCAUUGAAUUUUCUCCAUACUUAUCUAAUCCGAUCGGGUCCUCUCCAGGCUCUUCUCCCUUUCGCUGUAUCGGAGCUCGAGCGACACCUCCCUCUCCAUCCGAAUAUGUUGAUAAAAAUUCGCGAUAAAAACAUCCGCCCUCGCGUCGAUAUCGUCGCCCCCGGGCGUCGACAGCAAGCUACUCGUCCGCGACACUGCACCAGUACUGGAGCUCGAAAAAGAAGAUGCGCCCGUGUCGACGUAUACGCCGUCAGUGGCGUCGGCUAGGCUCGGUCGGGGGCUAAAGCUCGCCAGUUGUGGCCCGGGCGACGAACCGAUGAUCGAAAACAUGACCCACCUGGUGGGGUUGAACGAUAGCAAAAAUUUCACCUUGUGAAUUGCCCUUCUCAGGCGACUAAGGAGUUGAAACGUCUUAGUAUUAGUGAUUGCCAUGAGUGCUUUCGUUAUAUUGGUGUGAAAGAGCUUCGAAUAGAGUUUGUUAGGGUAAAUGUAGGUGUGUGUUCCUCCAAAUGAGAGAGAUUGAUGUAUAUAUACAUAGGGAGAGAGAAAUAGAUAAUGUGGAAUGGUCUCAUGGGAAACAAAUUAGAGAGGAAGCUACAUGGCUUUAAGAGAUUGCUGGGAAGGUAAGGAAAGAGACGUGUGGGAGACUAAGUCCACGUAUGCGGCCACAACGCGUGGGGGGGAAGCUAUUGCACGCGUGCAUGCACCAUGCAUGCAUGGCCUGUAGACCGGGUCUUCAGAACUCAAAAAUAGAUGCACCAAGGGUUAAAUAUGAUUUAUAUAAUGCUAGAAAGAGCUUGAGUGAAGUUGACCUGGGUACCCUGGUUUAUUGAAGCUGAUUAAAUUUAACUAUCGUUAGUAAUUUUCAUAUUUUAUUAUUUAGACAUCAAAUAGUUGCAAAAACCAAUAGUUUUAAAAUAUUUGAAGUUAAUUUGCUACGAACAUGAGAAAUGAUGUUAAUUAAUUAAUAUAUUCUUAUAUUCUGAUGUCUUAAAUUUUUUGAUCUGAUUAUAGUGAUCUAUAUAUAUUUCAUGUAGGCUUUUUAUUUCUCGUAUCAUGUUAUAUUAUUUGCCGUCUAGUAAAUUCAUAGAAAUUCAAAUUACAGAGAUUUUUAAGAUAGAAAAGAGAAACUUCGAUUAGUCUCCGGAAGGCAAAGUGAAAAAUGAACUAAUCAUCAGAUAUCUAAGAGUAAUAUUUUGAACCUCAACAUACGAGUAAUAGUCUAUCUGAAUUAGUCGCGUGUUGGUGGGUCACUUGGAAGGUUAGAAACGAGUUUAUUUUUAGAAAGAUCCAUCCUGACCCAGUGUUGGCCGUCCACAAGCUUAAGGUAAUGCUAAAGUUCUGGGACUACCUCCGCCAACCGAAGUAGAAGAGAGUAUUGGCCUUCCACGAGUUUUUUCUUUUUCUUUUUUCUUUUUUUUUUUGCUCUCUCAAGGCUCCGGAUGCCUCACCCCUGUAUCCUAAUUCAUCGUUCCAAUGAAUAAAGCCGGUAGCGUACUACCUUUUUCUCAAAAAAAAAAAAAAAAUUGAACCACAUGUUGUUCAUUUUUUAAAAAUAAAUUCAGCUAGAAAUAUAUAUUAACUGCGCCAGGUAUACAGUCAAUUACAGUAGAUUAAACUUAAUCCUCUAGAUUUAUGUUUUGAAGGCUUUGGUGUAUAGACCACGGUCCAUGGAAUAAUUUCUCCGAGUAGGGACACACGUAGAGCAAGUCAAAGUGUUUCCACGUAAUCAAAUAAGUUGUAACUUGUACGUGUUGGGAAACCAAAACACUUUUGCUUUGUGGUGAAGUUCAAUGCACGUUGCAGGUUUACGCGCGGUGGAUUGAUUGAUGAUGAGAAAAUCUCCACCGUACGAUGGAUUGAACAUGUCACGAGACAUACUAAGUGCGAAGUUCAUUGCAUUACCAGUCAACGGUCAACAGUUUUUUUUUGUAUCUUGUACAUGUGGCUUAAUUGUAUAGGAUGAGUGUGCUAAUGUGUGCAUGUUUGACUCGGUAUCUAAGCAAAGUUGAAAAUCUACAGAUACUUCCCUCUCCGCCUCUCUAAGAAAUAUAUAUUUCACUUACAAACUUGAUUAAUUUAUACUUUUUUAACCAAAAAAAAAGAAGAUAAAUUUGAUUAAUUGUUCAAAAUUUACACUUAAUUUGCAAUGCCAUCAAUACUUCAUCUUUUCGGAUAACAAACGAAAGGGAGAAAAAGAAAAGAAAACAAAAGAAAAUGCAUGUUUAAUUAGCCUACUUAAGGGUAUAGGGUCGAAACUUACGUGCUUAAGCUCUUGGAGUCCGAACGUUCUAGUCGAAGUUUCGAAUAUUUGGACGGAUGUAGGUAGGCCUAGGUUAAGUCAGAAAAUUCUAACAAUGGUAUUUGAUAAUAAGAGAAUUCUGGGCUAAUCAUUUAAGCAAUGUACAUUGUGCUCUCGAGUACCGUUAGUGCAUGGAUCAAAUAAAACCUGCAAUCUUAAGCUUGUAAAUAGUGAACUUAAAUGCUUUCGUGUGAUCGGUUUAUGUGUGAUCGGCUUAUUAGUUUACUGUUGGAGAAGACCUUCAAAAGAACAAAUUGAUUAGGUGAAGGGCAUCUAAACUUUUCUUAUACACUCUUUUACAGAAAGCUAGAAUUUUUGUGUUCAUCAACAACUGUUCAAGAACUAAUCAAGUGGAUCAAUAUAACUAAUGUUAUUAAAGUGAAAUUUGUAUUCUUACAUACAAUUGUAGAUAUCCAUCAUGCAUAAUAUUAAGCCAUCUCAGCUGUAAUUAAUAUGCUUUGUUCACAAUGUUCCUAAGGCAAGUUUACGACCGGGGCUUUGGGAAAUGGUUUGCAUGAAUCGACAUUGACUCGAAUCAAAUCCAUUUAUAUUAGAAGUACUAACAUUAAUUAACUAGAGCCAAUUCCACCACACAACUAAGAAGGAAAAUUGCUAGAGAUCUAGGGGUAAAAUGUGCCGGGACCAUCUCAAAUAUGGGCUAUUAAUUUACUUUGAAAUUUAUGUCCUUUAACUUUUCAUCUCAUAUAUGGACAUUUUUGACUUUCAUUUAUUUUGAUUUUUGUUAUUUUAGUCUUAUGUAUAUAAUGGGUAUAUAUUUCGGGUAUAUAUUUAAUUAAAUUAAUCAGUAGUUUAGCCAAAUUUCAUGCCUUUAACUAUUUUUUUGCUGAAGGAAAAAUAAAAUUUUAUCUAAUUAAUUAUUAACGAUAUAUAUAUNUAGAAUACUAUCGAUAGUAAACGGGCUCCGUUGCCACCCAUUUGUUUUCGAUGAUGGAGCCUCCAAAUCGACGAUCGGCACCUUUAAACAUGAUCUAUACCACUUGAAGUGUUUAGAAAUCAAAUUUCAUACAUUUUCGAUAUUGUUCUCUUAUCCAUCGAGUAGACACAAAAAUGAACGGCUGAAAAUGAAUAUUCUUUAAAAAAUGAUGAUAGGAGUCUUGUAAUCAAGAUCAAGAGUAUAGAUUUUGUUUUAAAUAGUUUAAAAAAUUUUCUAAAAAAAUUCAAUUAAUUUGGAUAUCUUUACGCUGUUAAACGAGAAAACGCCUCAUAUCGAUCAUUAAAAUUACAAAUUUUGAAACCCUUUGAUCAUUAGGUAAAUGAUGUCGAAAAGAUUUGAAAUUUAAUUUCUAAACCCUCAAGUGGUAUAGAUCACGUUCAAUGGUGCCGAUUGUCAAUUUGGAAGCUCUAUCAUCGAAAACAAAUGGGUGGCAACGGAACCCGUUUGCUAUCGAUAGUAUUCUAGCUCAACUCUAUAUAUAUAUAUAUAUAUAUAUAUAUAUAUAUAUAUAGACCAUCUACUAUUCUAUUAAUAGGAUUGAGAACAUUGUCCUAUCAAAUUGUUUUGAAUGAUCGGAGCUUCAAAUUCAUAAUCGGUACCGCUGAAAUUGAUCUACACAAUUAGAAAUAUUUAGAAACCAAAUUUUGUAAUAUUUAAAAAUCAUUAUCAAGUUCAUCGAAGAUUUUGAAAAAUGAACGGUUAUAAAUGAAUAACCUUCUUAAAAUAGAGGUUAAACUUUUUCAAUUCAUAAUCAGAGUUAUCAAACAUUAUCUAAAUAGUAUAAAAAAUUUUCUAUCAAAAAUUUAAGUAAUUUGGAUUGCUCUACACCGUUAAACAAGCAAACGGCUCAUAUAGGCCAUAAAAAAUUGUCGAUUUUACGACACUUUGAUCACGAUGUAAAUAAUUUUUAAAAUUUAUGAAAUUUAGUUUCUAGAUAUUUCAAAUACUCUAGAUCAACUUCAACGGCUCCGAUCAUCGAUUUGGAAUCUCUAUCAUCAAGAACAAGUUGAUAGGACAAGUACUACUAUCCUCUUAUAGUAGCCCUAGCAUAUAUAUAUAUAUAUAUAUAGUCCAGCUAUAGUGCUUGUAAAAGUAUCAAGUAUUUGGUACUUGUAAAUUUUUUACCAUUAGAUCUACUUCUCAGAUUAUUUUCAACCAUUAGAUUAUACUAUUCAACCAACCACCCACUCAACCCUAGGGGGCCCACAUCAUCCUAACUGCAUAUCUCUUAAUCCAAUGGCUAAAAAUCUACAAGCACUAAUAACUUGGUACUUUUAAAAGCAUAGGAGCUCAAUUCUAUAUAGUACGUCUUCUGUGCUUUCAAAAGUACGAAGGCCUUCGUAUUUGUAAGUUGUUUUCGAUUAUAGAGUAUCCGAUUUGAUGAUCGCUUCAUUAAGCAUAAUUUAUGCUUUUGGAACUAUCUAAAAAUCAAAUUUCAUAAUUUUUUGAUAUCAUUUACCAAGUAAUCAAAAUGUCUCAAAAAUAACUAUUUUAACAGUCAAUGUGACACAUUUUUAAAUUCAACGGUGUAGAACAAUCCAAAUUAUAUAAAACUUUAAUAGAAAAUUUCACUUAACAUAAAUAGCAAGAUUAAUACUUCUGAUUUAAAAUUUGAGUCUUUUAUCAUUAUUUUUUAUGAGAAUUUUAUUUUCAACCGUUUAUUUUGAUGUUACUCGUUCGCUAGGCAAAUGAAGUCAAAAAAUUAUAAAAUUUUAGUUUCUAGAUAGUUCUAAUAGUGUAAAUUAUGUUUAAUGGAACCGAUCGCCGAAUUGAAUAUCUCAUAAUCGAAAACAACUUAUAAGCAUAGAGACCUUCGUAUUUUCGUAAGCAUAAGACACUCACUCUCUCUCUCUCUCUCUCUCUCUCUCUCUCUCUCUCUCUCUCUCUAUAUAUAUAUAUAUAUAUAGGUGAUGAAGAUGUUAAUUUUAAUCAAAUUUCUAAACCAAUUAAUUACUUGACCAGCAAAGCUCAACUGUAAUAUAAGAAAGUGUUAGUCCCAAAAGUGGUAGGUAAAGGGUCUAUUUCAAAAUCGCCUAUCCGUCCAUUUUAUUAUUGGUGAUUUGUCUUUUUUCCCCCUUAAACAGUGAGGAAGAUGUGGCGGCUAAUUAGAAAAAUAUAUAUAGUUUUAGCACUAUUUAUCGUUGAUCGACAAUGACUUAAAGUUCUAGUCUUUUAAUCUUUUUGCGCUUCAUUUAUUGCUUAGCACACCCACAUUUUCUUAAUGCAAUUUGGUCUUACAAACAUUUAAUAUGCAUUAGUUUUAACAUUUAAUAUGCAAUUUGGACCAAGAUCUUGGGAGUUGACUUGGAAGAAAUGCAAGUACUGAUACCGAACCUCUCGGAGCUAGUGGAAUGGCUAUCCCGUUACACCGUUGAGAGCAGUCAGGAUGAAAUUCAGUGGCGAUGGAAUAAUGAUGGACACUUCUCGGUUAAAUCGACCUAUUCCGCUUUGACGGACGGUGGGACGAGGGAUGCCCGAGCCGCCGCCAUUUGGAGUCUCAAAAUUCCUCUCAAGGUUAAAGUAUUCAGCUGGCUGGUGCUCAAGAAAAGAAUUCUCACACGGGAUAAGCUAGUUAAGCGGGGGUGGAUUAACGAUCCUAUUUGUGUGCUCUGCGGGGCGGAUGAAGAAACCGUGGAUCACCUAUUCACUUGCUGCGUAUUUUACAAGUUUGUGUUAGUGACAGUUGUGGACGACAUCCAGGCCCAAGAUUUGGGGGAUGACGUACAUCUCGUGUGGGAUAGGUGGAUGUGCUUAAAGGACCAUUGAAAAAAGAGGAACAGACUUACAGACCUAGUUGGCUGCUGGUGGAACAUCUGGAAUGUCUAAAACGAUUGUAUCUUUCGGAACAUCCCGCCAAACCCCGGUUUAGCGACCCAGAGACUCUUCCUGCUGCUGAAAGAGUGGGAUCUUCUUCUAGACACGUAGCAAGUUUGGACCCAACAUUUUUUUUUUUUUUUUUUUUUUUUUUUUUUUGGAAAGNGGGUGGAUUAACGAUCCUUGUUGUGUGCUUUGCGGGGCGGAAGAAGAAAGUGUGGAUCAUCUAUUCACCCGUUGUGUAUUCUGCAAGUUUAUGAUAGUAUCAGGGGUGGACGACAUUCAGGCUCAAGAUUUGGGGGAUGACGUCCAUCGAGUGUGGGAUAAGUGGAGGUGCUUGAAGGACCACCAAAAGAAGCGAAACAGACUUACAGACCUAGUAGGCUGCUGGUGGAGCAUCUGGAAGGUCAGAAAUGACUGUAUCUUUCGGAACAUCUUGCCGAACCCCGGUUUAGCGACCCAGAGACUCAUCCUGCUGCUAAAAGAGUGGGAUCUCCUUCUAGACACGUAGCAGUUUUGGACCCAACAUUUUUUUUUUUUUUUCGGCUUGUUUUCUCUCGGGGCCGUGCUGCCCCACUCUUGUAGCUUAAUUUAUCUGUUUAAUGAAUAAAGCGGGUAGCGUGCUACAUUUUUCUCGAAAAAAAAAAACAUUUAAUAUGCAUUAAUUGCAUCCUUAAUUACUAUGAUUUUUGGACUUAAUCAUUUGGAAGAAGCCUAAUUUGCACCUUUGAAGAAGCAUGAGCAAAUGCAGGCUCCCAUGAAGAGUGAUUGUUUCCGUUGCCUCAUAAAUACUAUUGUAAUUAAUAACUAUUAUCUACAAGAAUAAUUUUCUGCAACAAACAAGAAUUAUUGUAAAUCGUUGCUAUAAAUCUUGUGAUAAUAGACAACUAAACCGAAUAAUUUAUAUUAUCACAACGGUACAAACUGUUGCAAUAAAUAUAUAUUGUAAUAAUGUAAUUCUCAAUACAAUUAAACUGAUGUAACAGAAUAAAAUUGUUGUAGCACAGCCCCUCUUCACUCAGUAAAUUGAUUCAAUUAUUAUAAUAAUUAAAAUUGAAACAUAGUAUCUUAAUUAACUAAAAUUAUAAUUUUAUUAUUAUGCUGCAAUUUAGUAUUGUUAUUAUUUUGUAGUAGAACCUAUUUAAUUAACUUGCCACCUCUCCAUAUGCUAUGGUGUGCAAACUUUGAAUAUUUGUCAAUUAUUGAUUUAAAAGCUGUAGUAAAAUUUUCUCAGUUUAUCGAUAAAAUUAAUCACGAACUUACUGUAUCUUAAUUAAUGGUUGAUUUAAAGAUUGUGAGAAUCAUAUAUUGAUAAAAUAUAUGUUAAAGGGGAGGUUGUUCAUGCACUUGUACCCAGAAACUUGUUUCCUCAAAAUUAAUAGAUUACAUGGGACUGUUUUCGAUAUUUACAAAUGGUUGGUUCUUUGUUUCGUAAUGUAGACAAGUAGAAAAUGACUUGGCACCUGCAAUUUAGGAACACAACAAAACAAUAGUCUCAUCAAACCAAAGAUAAAAACUCAAAGAGUGCACAAAAUUAAUAAUCACGUACAUAGUUUUUAACUAAGAAGCGUAAAGCGUCCUCUAAGCAUUAGAACUCCUGUUUGUACCUUUUCUUCUUAGUUGUGCGUUUGUAUUAGUAAUCAAAAUAGAAAUUAUUGCCUACACAAAGCGCGUAUGCAUCUCUCGAUCAAUCGUUCGAUUCAUACGUAUGCAUGUAUAGUGACCUAAAACUAUGUAUAAUCUGAGAUGCUGGGACCUUGAAUCUUUCUUUCUUUUUUCUUUUUACUUUUUACUUUUUUGAAAUGCAAAAUUGGUUAUUCGAAUUGUAAUUGACAACCGGCAAAUUUACGUUGUACGUAGAGAAUAGAAUAUAUAAACACUGUUCUCUGCUGACUUAAACUUAAGAUUUCAGAAAAAAAUAAUUAUUUUAUAUUAUUUAACAUAGGAUGAGGAUAAGAGGUUGUAAGUUCGAAUCUCACUAGCUCGUAGUCUCAUUUAAUUCUUUCUAUUAAUUCAAGUUCACGUUUCAGAUGAGGGCCUGAAAGGGAGUGUUGAGAAUGAAAUAUAAAAACAAUUAUUUUAUAUAAUUCAAUAAAGGUGGUGGUUGCUAAAAUUGAAGUUAGAAUUUACUUGUGUAACUUUAAAAACUUCAUUAAUUAACUACAUAUUCAUAUUGUCAUGGACAUUUGUGCAUAAACUUAUUUAUCUAAAUGCUGUUGAUUUUUGCAUAAAUACUUAAGCUAUUUUUACGUGUAUCAGGGCACUGACACAAAUACGUAGGAUUUUACAUGCUUUUUUUUUUUUUUUUUGAGAGAUAGGUAGCACGCUACCCGUUUCGUUUAUUUCAUUUAGAAAUAAAUUUAGCUAGAAAUGUGAAUCAACUAUGUAGGAUUUUACAUGCUUGAAUAGUAAAUUUAUAGGGUUAAUUCUGAUCGAGAUAAUGUCUCAUAGUUGUAGAGGUAUCUAUUGUACCAAAAAACAAUAAAUAUUGCUUGCCGUACAAAGUAUUCGAAACAUAUAUUUAAUUUGGGUCCCCAACACUAUUCUUAUAGGUUGUUAAUAUGUCCAUAAAUACAUCUGAUAACUUAAACUUCGUGCACGCAUAUGCCAUCCAAUAAUACUAACAGUGUUUUGAAAGAUUGUAAAGGCCUGUUUGGUUUACAGUUUUAAAUAUUUCGAUAAUUCUUCGUAUUUUUUAUUAAAAAUAUUCAAAUUAUUACGAUUCAACUCAAGUUUGGUAGCUAUAAAAGAUGUUAGGAAAUCAGUAAAAUUAAUAAUUGUAAAUCUCUAGAUGGUAAAAAUUCAUCGAUUAUGCAUGAGCCAUUCUUAUUAUCAUACUCGAUGGUAAUCAUUAGUAAUCCAUUUAUAUAUAAAAAUAUAUAUAUUCGUUCUUAAUAACUUUCUGAUCCGAAUUAAUGGCUUGGUAAAUUAAUAAGAAACUUAUCUUUCCCAAUAUAAAAUAUAUAAUAUUCUUGAUGAAAUAUGACAAACUUUGAACAAUAAUUGAGAUAUUAUUCUUUGUAUCUUGUACUUCCCAUAAUCCUAGUAGAGUCCAAAAAUGUGCCUCUCACGAGGGGAGUGGUAAUAUUGCAGGAUAUUAAUUAGUGAUCUAGGAAUUCCGCAGCCAAGUUGCUACUGCAUGUGGAAAGCUCCUCGAACCACAACUAUGUUUGCGACAGGUGCGUUUUUAAUUUGAACACGAGUGGGGAGUAGAAGCAUAUAUCACCGUUUCGAGUUGUCCUUCUCUAGAUAUAAGACAAAAGAAGUCUCCCCCACAAUCCGUAUAAGUUUUUUUUUUUUUUUUUUUUUUUGAGAGAUAGGUAGCACGCUACCCGUUUCGUUUAUUUCAUUUAGAAAUAAACUUAGCUGGAAAUAUGAAUCAACUAGGAUUCGAACUUGGAUCUCGGGUACCAACCACUAAGCCCUUUGCCACUUGCUCUAGGGCGGUCGGUAAUCCGUACAAGUAUCGAUAUGACCAUCUAUGAGUGCUUCAAACUUACAUAAUAAAUAUUAAAUAUCUAAAUCUAAAUUUAUUGAUGUACUGUCACAUAAAUUAGUGCAAGCAAAUAUGGAGGUGAAAAAAAAUCUAAAAUGUAUCGAAUAUAUUGCUGACGUUGUGUUUCUAAUUAAUAAAAUUAUUUUUUUGAAUUGAUAUAUAUAUAGGGAUGUCAACGGAUCGGGUUUGGGUCGAAUUUUUAAAAACCUGAGCCCGAACCCGAAAACCAAAUUAAAAUCUGUAUCCGGACCCAAACCCGGCGGGUUUUAAAAAUCCAUACCCAUAUCUGUACCCGACCAAAAACCCGAAACCCGAACCCGGACCCGGACCCAGACCGGCCGGUUUUAAAAAUUCAUACCGUUAAAUGAAGAUCUAAGAGAUAAAAAUUAUUAAAUAUUUUAUAUAUUAUAUAAAUAAAUAAAAAUAAAAUGUGUAUAUAUAUAUAUAAUUUAUUCGGGUUCGGGUUCGGAUUCGGGUCGGGUUCGGGUUCAGGUCGGGUAAAUACAAAAUCUAUAUCCGUAUACAUAUCCGUCGGGUUUUUAUUUUCUAUACCCAUAAUCAAAUCCAUACCCGUUUAGCUCGGAUAAAUCUGCCCUGUUCGGAUUCGGGUUCGGGUAAUAUUUCGGGUAUUCAUGCCCAUUGACAUCCCUAGAUAUAUCCCAUUAUAAUAAAUAAAAAAUAUUUUUGUUGUAAUUUUUUUUUCAAAUGAAAAUAUAUGAUUGACUUGUUAUUGAUGAUGUGGUGCAAAUGUGAUAUAAUAGACUUCCUCGUACGAAAAUUUGUUGAUGCAUCAACAACUCACAAAGCCGAUAAUAUUAACGUUGGAGCGCGAUAUUCUAAACACUAAAAUAUUCUAAUUUAAACAGUUAGAAUAUGAUGUAUAACUUUUAAAUUAUUAACAAAUAAGCAUUAAAAGUUAGAUGGUCACAAAAUCACUUGAUUAGAAAAUUUAUUCUUUGUUAAACAACAAAAUCGGUGUCAACAUACUUAUGAUUUUUAUGAUUGUGGAGCACAUCGAUUAUCUAACUGUUUAUAUUUAGAUUAAUGAUUUUGAGAUGAAUUGCAGAACUAAAUAUUUUUGACCAACUAGAAAGUCGAUCUACUCUUCGAAAAUAGUUACUUCCAAAGUUUAUUUUUUAUUAUUAAAAUUUUAAUCUUGUUAGUAACAAAAUUUAAAACAACUAAAAGAUUAUAAAAAAAAAAAGAAUAAAAAUUUCUUCCAUGCGCAAUUGAAUGUAUCCAUCACUACAAAAUAUCUUACAGCAUUUUAGCACAUGUAUUUUACGAUUCAGGCAGUUUAUAUAUGAAAAUAACAGAGAGAUAGUGAUGGAGAUAGAGAGAGAAAGAGAGAUGAAAAAAAAAGUGAUUUUUUGCGAUUCAGGCAGUUUAUGUAUGAAAAUAACAGAAGAUAGAGAUGGAGAUAAAGAGAGAAAAAGAGAGAUGGAAAAAAUGUGAUUUUUGGAUUGAGAGAGAAUAAUAAAAUAUAUAUAGGCAACUCUUAAUUAAUUUCCACAUUAAAAUUAAAUAAUUCGAGAAUUAUAACCCACGUAUUUACAUGAAACUUCCAACCAAAUCACCAUUUAUUCAACAUUAAGGCUUCGUUUGGUUCGGGUAUAACCAAGAACUAGUUAUACCGGGGAUAGGUACAAGUAUGGAUUUUCGUAGGAAUAAGGAUGAAAAUGUGAGUAUAAGCUGGAAUUAGAAUAAUUGUGUUUGGAUUAAAAUAUGAGUAUAAGGUGUAAUAGUUGGUAGUUAUAAAUAGAAAAUAAUGAUAUUACCCCUAUAGUUGAAUUUAAAAUUUUAAACCAAAAAUUUUAAAUUAAAAAUUUUAACUUUUACAUUUUAAAUUUUGAAAUUAAAUUUAAAAUUUUAAUUUUCAAAAAUUUUAAUUUUAAAUAUCUAAUUUUUAAUUUAAGACCAAAUUUAAAUUUGAAAGAUAUAAAAUAUCAAAUUUAAAAUUUAAAAACUAAAAAUAUCAUAUUUAAAAUUUAAAAUUUAAAAAUAUCAAAUUUAAAAUUUAAACUUUAAAAUUUAUAAUUUAAAAUUAUAAAUUAUAAAUUUUAGAAAUUUAAAUUUAAAAUAAAAAUCUCUCUCUCUCUCCUCUCUCCUCUCUCUCUCUCUCAUACCGGGGGGUGGAACAAGUUAUUCCACCACUGGGUGGGAACACUUGUUCCCACCUACCAAAAAUGUUGUUUGGGUACAAGAGGGGGGAUAACCUCCUUAUCUCUCCUCUUGUACCCAAUCCAAACACAGCCUAAAGAUAUUAAUUGUCAUUAAUUCUAGUUUUUAUUUUGUUAUUGAAAGUGGCCUUAAAUUCAUGGUGAAAGUAAAACAACGAAAAGUUUCAUAACUGAAAAAGAAGAUUGGGGUGAAUUGCGAGCUUUUGCUUCCAAAAUACUAUUUGUUAUAUGUUAGGAUUUGGUUAGAUUUGUAGUUAAAUCCUAUUUGGAUAAGAAUUAAUAUUUAAAUCUGUUUGAGAUAAAUUAAGAUUUAAAUAUUAAUUAGAGAAUGAAUCUAACUAGAUUAGGAUAAAUAUUUAAAUCUAUUGGAGAUAAAUCAAUUAAGAUUUAAAUAUUUAUUGGAGUAGGAAUCCUAAAUAUAUUAGGAUUGGCUACAUUCUUGAUGAAGCAUUAUAUAUAAUGCAUUAGAGUCUCUUUUUGGGGAGAGUACGGCAAAGAGAAAAAAGUGCUCUUGGGGUGUCGUACCAGAGAGAGAAAAAGAGAGAGAGUUAUUUUGUGCACCUAGUGCACGUGUGCACGUAGAUGGAUUGUCUUUUAGGUUUAUAAAAGACGAGAGAAGGGUAGAAGAGAUUCAAAAAGAGGGCUCGAGUUGUAGCUACUCUGUUACAGAAGAGGAGUCAGGUGUAAUCUUCUCUUAUUUAAUGAAUCUUAUUUUAUCUGCAUAUUUUUCUCUUUUACGAUUGUAUCAGCUUUUGCUGAGGAGACGGGUUUAUGAUAAAAAAUCCGAUUUGAUGUUUCCGUUGCGGAAUCCCAACAAUCGAUACCAGAUCCACAGCAGUCGGUAUCGGAGUGGGUUGUGGAUUCACGAGAUCCGGUACCGGGGCGAGUAUCGAAUUCCCAACACUUGCUGCAAAGAUACGAGCAUGUACUGAGGCGGUUAAGUGGCUUCUAAAUAAUUAAUCGGCCUAAUAUCAAGUGCUCAAUUUACACGAAUCUUCUAAAUAAUCGUUCCUGUUUGUUUAAGGACCAGCAUAACCCGUUGUCACUACAAGAAUUAGAGCGUAUUGCUUCACUUCAACGCCUUUUGGACUCCAAUAAUAAUAUUCUUAUAGGGUGGUCGUCUAGAUAUAGUUCUUUUUCACAACGUGUUGAUAAAUUAGCUAAAUAGGGCCUUGGUUCCCAGGUAGCUUCUAGUUGGUCUUCUUUCGUAGAGUUUGAGAAGUCUGUAACUCCUUAUCAUAUGGAAUAAAUGCCUUAUGGUGUUCUUUUCCAAAAAAAAAAAAAAGAAAAAAAGAAAAAAAAAUCAGCUAAAUUGAUUUUAAGCCUUUAGAAUUUAAUAUGACUUGAUGAAAAAAAUCCGUACGUACGUACUCCUUGGAAAAUACACCUUUGUCAUAAAAGAAUAAAUAAAAUAAAUAAUUUAAAUGACCUUAGUAGACUUAAAAAUAAGUAAUUAAACAUCUAUUGGUAGAUUGGAUGUUUUUUUUUUAUUAAUAUAAAUCGUGAGUUUGAAAAAAAAAAAAAAAAUUGUUUAAUUGGGGGAUCCUGAUAUAUAUAAAACAGUUAAUUUACAACGAUAUUUUUUCGGUUAGUCAGUUGUUGUUGUUUGCCACAUACGGCCAUUAUAUAUAUUUUCCUAGCAAACCUACAAUGUAAGUAAGAACGUCUUUUUAAUACAAAAUCAAAAGUAAAACUUUUUAAUUUAUGGAUUUUCUUAUUGAAAGCUGUGAUUUUUCUCAGUAUACAUGUCUAACGUACGCGAAAAAUAUCUAAACGCUGGUAAACUGAUGACAAUCAUUGAAUAUCUAUAACCACACGGAUCGACCUUACGAAAAUUAUCAUGUAUUUAUUAUAUACGAUAGUUAAAAAAUUGUGAACAAGCCGAAGCAAACCAAGCCACAAUUCAUUCUUGAUUUAAAACGCAAACUUACUUUUAAUUCAACAGGGUCCUUAUUUUUUUUAUUGCAAAUUUAAACCUAUCUAUUCUACCUUAUUCUUCUUAUUGAAAUUCUAAUAUUUAAAAAAUUUAAAUUUUUUAAAUUUUAAAAUUAAAAUUAAAUUUUUAAUUUAUGCCCACCCAAUCGAUUAGGGUGGGGAUAAGGUUUUCCUCUCACCCCAAUCGAUUGGGGUGGGAAUUGCUCAAUAGGUUUCACAGACCCCUAAUUUCCCCCUAUCGGGGAAUAGGGGGGUUAAUUGGAGGUUGGUUUGUGGUGGGAUCCCAAAUCAACCUUAUCCAUCUUAUCAUAAACUAAAUUUCCGAUGUUUUCAAUCAUCGUGCGUGGUAAGUACAGAGUAAUCUUCGUGACCUGAGACCUAUCUCCAUUAAUUAAUAUUUUUUUUUGAAUCUUAAAACCACCAUUUAUAUUUUUAAAAUUUCAUAUUCACUGAUGUAUGUUUACCUACAUUGAUAAUACAUGUCCGUUAUGAUAAGUAUGUAAGGUACUAAUUUUAAUAUUUAAGUAUGGCUGGCAGAGAUCUCGUUCACUGUUUCCCGAACCACCAACCAUGGGCUCUGGGUUCAAACUUAGGAUCAACUAAGUGUAAAGAACAAUUUUGCUUCGCCUAUCGCACGAUGGAUAGAGAGUUUUUUUUUUUUUAAUAUUUAAGUAGAGAUAAUAUUCAAAAUUAAUAGUGUUAUAUAAGGAAAUUUCGAAGUUUUAUACGUUUAAAUAGAAUUGAUGGCAAACAAUUGCCAAUUCAAAAACGGCAAACCUGACAAUAUAGAAACCUUUUUUUAUUUAAAAAUUUUAGAAAAAGUCCUACAUAAUAAAUACUAAAAUCAUCUUACUAUGCAUUCAAUAUUAUUUUUAUUAAAUUUUAUUAUUUAUUAUAAUUUAUAUUAAUUUUCAUGUAUAACUUCCUAUCUUACCAAUAAAAUAAAAUGUAUUUUUCCAGUCGUGAUUAGACAGUUGAUUAUAUCUUUCCAUAUAUAAUUCGUGAUAAUACGAUUAAACCUCUUUAUAUAAACUAUUGACUUCGAAAUAUACUUUUUUAUAUAUAUAUUAAAAGAACAAAGUAUCCCUAUGUGAAUAAUAUAAAUAGUUAUUAAAUUUUUAGCCCUAACUGGCAGGGAUCAAGUUCACCGUUUUCCGGACGAACAACUAUGGGCUCUAGGGGCCAAGCUUCAGAUCAAUAAAGUAUAAAGAUUGAUUCAAAUAAUAAAGAUUUUACUUUAUUUGCUUUACCUAUCGUACAAUGGAAGGAGAGUUUUUUUUUUUUAAAUUUUUAGCCCUGCUUAGACGGCCAAGCUGGCAAAUCUGACAUUGGAUCAAAUGUUUCAUCAAGCCAAGUUGUGAAACUCGAUCUAUUCAAUUUUUUGGCGAAACUUGACACUUAGCCAAACCAAAAUAAGUUUAGCUANUUUAUGAUAAAAAAUCCGAUUUGAUGUUUCCGUUGCGGAAUCCCAACAAUCGAUACCAGAUCCACAGCAGUCGGUAUCGGAGUGGGUUGUGGAUUCACGAGAUCCGGUACCGGGGCGAGUACCGGAUUCCCAACAGUUAUAUACGAUAGAUAUGAUUAAUUUGUUAAUUUUACCUUCGCAAUCGCAGAUGUUUUAAUGAAUUAGCUUGAUACAUAUGUUACAACGAAGACAUUCUUGGUGUCAUAUAUAGACUGCAGAACAAUUAACGCAACAAUUUCUUGUAAGCUUAGUACUCAUCAAUAGGGCCCCUUCUAUUCAACUAGUUCCCAACAAGUAACACCAUUAUUCCAUAAGGUUCUGUUUAGAUAUUAGAAAAGGUUUAGGGUUUAUGGCUUAGGAUUAUCCUUGAAUAACUUGUCGCAUGAAGUUUUCCUUAUGUGAUUGGAGGCAAAGAUUUGAUUUUUGCUCCUUAAAAAUAUCUCUUCAUUCGUAAUUUAUCAGAAUAACGUAUUUCACCCGCAAGAUGAUUUUUCUUAUUCCAAAAAAUUGACUAGAAAGUGAAAUAUAACAUUCUAUUCUAGACGUUUAAUUAUAUCUCUCAUCUACUAAAAGCUAUAACUUUUUGAAUAAGAUUAAGAUCUUCAUUAAUCCAAAUAUAUAUGGUUUAAAGAAAAAUGCUACUUGUACACCCAUAUAUAAGUGUAGAUCUUUAUAUCCUUCAAAUUUUAGGUUUACAAAAUCCAAAUGGAUCUUUAAUUAGUUAACGAAUAAAAAGAUGAUAUGACUAGUGAGGGAAUAAGGGCCCUUAGAUGAGUAGGGUGUAAGGUUUACCCCAUAGCUAGAGGUGUAUGUUUAAGUGUAUUUAAUUUCACUAUGAUUCUUAAUAUCGGAAAGUCUUCAAUACAGAACGGCUCUUAACUCUUUGGUCACCCAAACAAUUAACUACAAGAAUAUUUAGAUUUAGUGGCAUUUAUAAAUAUUGCUAAAUAAGCUAGAAAUGCUACUAAAUCUUUUAGCAACAUUUAAAUUUUAGUAUUGCCUAUGCCAAUAUUAUUGAAUCUUUUAGCAACAUAUAGAGAGACGGUUGCCGAUGCUGAGGAAUUAGUAAUAGUUAACAAAUGUUGCUGUAUGAAAAUUUUAAAAGUACAUUUACUAAAUGGUGGUGCAUAUUAUUUAAUUAAUUCUCGCAUUAAUAUAGCUUUUAUUUUCUAAAUUUAAAAAAUAUUUCAUUAAUUAUAGCAAUAAUUAUAGCUUUUGAUAUUAAAUAAAUUAAAUUAUUAUUAGUUUUUGAUUAAUUAUUAUAAUUAUAGCCAAUAAUAAUCAAAUGUUACUAAACAAUCAGUAUAAUAGUAUUUCGAAUUAUUGGUAAAAGUGUUCUUUAUAUUAACAUUAAUUAAUUAUUAUUUAGAGAAUUUUAUGAUUAUGUGGUAAUAAUAGAGUAUAUUUAUUUUAAUUAAAAAAAUAAUAACAACUAUAACAAGAAUAUUCUAUCAGUUCUAUAUUACUCACAAUUUUUUACCCAAUUGAUAGUCACAAGUAGAAAACAACCUUAAACACCAAAGGUCUCAUAUAUAGCAUAAAUAAUAAAAUUUGUAAUAUAUUACAAAUCAAAUAACAUAUUUGAAUAUAAAAAUAAUUGAGCUUUCUCAUAAUUACAAAUAUGGUCAUGAUAAAAUAAAAAAAUAGUUGCUCCUUAUUCGUCGUAGAAGUCUCCAAAAUGCUUGAAUAAAAUAAUUUUAUAACCUUUAUUUGCUUACCCUGUAAAAAGGAUAAGGUUAAUAAUUAAACUUUCAUACAAUUUGUCAUAAGAUAUAGGAUACUAUAAACUACUAAAAGAAAAAAAUAUACCGCCCUUACUAAAUCAUAUAAGAUCACUAUACUUGCCUUAACAUCUUCAAAAUUAAUUAUACUCCCUAAAAGAAAACAAGAAAAGGUACCAAAUUAGAAUAAUAGCAAUAUAAUAACUACAAAUUAAGAUCUAAAAGUAAAACGUAAAAAAGCUGAUGAAAAUUAAGAAAUAAAAAACCUUAUAUCAUAUUAUAUAAUGCAAUAAAUUAAUGCGAUGACAAAUGAAAACGUGGAAGGGUAAUCCUAUUCUAGCCAUAGUAAACUUUGUUAGUUAAGAAAAAUAGAAAAAAGAAUUUUUAAUCUAUGAUUUUUACUAGAAAUUAAGAGGAAAUUGCUUUACCUAAGAAGAAAGGGAUAUUUAUUCAUUUUUAGAACUAAAAUUAAUAUCCCGAUACUAAUAUUUUUUCUCCAUUCUCACAAGUUGAAAAAAAUGGUGGGCAUGAUUUUGUUGGACUAUGGACUAGAAGAAGAAAUCAUAAGAGUGAAAAAUCUCUUUAAGAGUUUAAAGUGAAGAGACAAAGAAAAAGAAAAGUGAGAGAUAGAAGUGAAAAACAUUAAAAGGAGGGAAAAGAUAAAAAAUUUAAAAAUUAAGCGGAUUUUUAAAAAUUUGAAAAAUUCAUUAUCAUUUAUCACCAAAAUAUUGCUAAAUAUUGCAACAUUUAAUAAUUAGUGUUGGUAUUUUUUAUAUUUAGCAAUAUUUGUGUCUAAAUAUUGAUAAAUAAAUACAUUUAGUUAGCAACAUGAAUAAAAAUAUAUUGCUAAAUUUUAUAAUCAGUGUUACUUACUGAAAUAUUGCUAGUUAAAUGUUGCAUAUUCUUGUUCUUAGUCGUGAAUUGUACUCUAGCUCUGAUGGUGGUUGUGUGGCAUGCAAGAUCACAUUAGCUCACCGUUUUUCUAACUAAUUAAUAAAUUUUACAGAAAAAUCAUUCUAGAUCGUACAGUUAGAAAAAGAACUGAAAUGUAAUAAUCUACUUUUGGUCCCCUCCUACGUGUUAGUCGACAACUGAAUGAUCAUUACAGUGCAUGUGUCCACAUUGAGAUAUUGAAAGGUAUUUGAUGUUUUUGGAAAUUAUGGGAUGGUAACAUAUUUCGCCUACGAGAUAAUUCAUAUUAUUUUUAAAAAAUUGACCAGAAAGCGGAUUAUGUCAUUUCAUUCUCAAAUAUUUUGUUAUAUUUUCGAUCUAUCAAAUAUUAUAAUUUUUUGAGCAAAUUAAAGGGUACAUCCAAGAUAAAAUAUUCAUGCAUUCAAACAUGGCCUAAAAAAUUGCUACAUGUACAUCAAUAUAUAAGUGCGUAAAUCUUAUAUCCUUCAAAUCUUGGGUUCACAAAAUCCAAAUGGAUCUUUAAUGAACAAAAUAAUAAUAAUAAUAACAGUGAGGGAAUUAUAAUGUCCCUCAGAUGAGUAAGGUAUAAAAUAUACGCCUAAGCUAGAGCUGUAUGUUUAAGUGUAUUUAUUUUCACUAUGAUUCUUAAUAUCUUCAAUACAAAAGGGUCCUUAACUCUAAAUCUAUAAAAUUUUAUUCGGUCACCCAAACAAUAUUUGAACUCUAGCUCCGACGGUGGUCGUGUAGGAUGCUAACUCACAUUAUCUCACCUUUUUUCUAACUAAUAAAUUUUACGGAAAAAUCAUUCUACAUCAUACAGUUAGAAAAGAAAGUGAACUCACAUUAUCUCAAUUUCUUUUCCAAUUAAUAAAUUUUACAGAAAAAAUCAUUCUACAUCGUACAGUUAGAAAAGGAACUGAACUCACAUUAUCUCACUUUUUUUUUCCAAUUAAUAAAUUUUACAGAAAAAAUCAUUCUACAUCGUACAGUUAGAAAAGGAACUGAACUCACGUUAUCUCACUUCUUUUUUUCCAAUUAAUAAAUUUUACAGAAAAAAACAUUCUGCAUCGUACAGUUAGAAAAGGAACGAAAAUAUAAUACUCUACUUUUGGUCCCCUCGUGUUAAUCAACAACAAAUUAAACACAAAACAUGUGAGAGUGAGAGAGAGAGAGAGAUCUAGAGAGAGAGAGAGAGGCUGAGGAACAAAUGCGGGGUAAAACACUUUGUUCCUUUCUAGGUUAAAGUACACUUUUACUUCGUAAACUAUAAGGCAUAUAAUAUUUUAGUCUUCAAAUUUUAAUUUAUUGUUGUCUCUUGCUUGAGUUUUCUUAGAAUUAUUGCAGAUGAACCACACAAUCUAAUUUAGCAGACAAGAUGUUAAUAUAUUGCUAAUUAAUAUAAUAUUAUAGUUAUUGUCAUAUCAUCGUACUACGAAAUCAGCAAUGAAUCAGUAUCUAACUAGUUAACUUAAUCCAGAGUUAAAAUAUAAUAACAAUCAUCCUAAAAAUUUAAAUUAAAAUGUAUAAUAAAUUAAAAUUUAAAAACUAAAAUAUCACGCAUCAUUUUGUCUUAGAACCAUAUGUAUAAUUUACUAUAGAGAUGAAUAGAAAAUGCCCACUUAACGCCGCAGUUUUGCCCCCCCUCUCUCUCUCUCUCUCUCUCUCUCUCUCUCUCUCUCUCUCUCUCUCUCUCUUUAAUUAAUUCUCCCUUUAUCAAAUAUCAACUUGCUCCAAAGGAGCACCAUAUAUAUACACAAGCUUCUCGGCCAUAAUUCGAAGAAAACUACAUGCUUAAUUAAUCCACCUGCAAAAUUCUGCAUAACAACAACUUUUUAUUAGUUCUUUUAAAAUUAGCAUAUAUAAUUAUCAUUCUACGAACCUAUAAAUUAAUUAUACCACUUUUUUAGUGAACUGUACUAACUACCCAAUUAAAGUUUUCCAACUUGGCAUAAUGGUAAAUUUUUGUAGAAUAUGUAGGUUAUCAUAAUAAUUGGUUUAAAUGGCUAGAUUUAUUUUGUAACUUCGUGAAUCAUGAACACCCACCGAAAAGAUGUUUUUUUAUAUCAAAGAAAAUUUAGAAAAUACUUAUAAAAUUGUUCGUUAGUGUUACUCCCAAAUUAUUGUAUGUGGUCAUGCUACAGCUUUCAUAGUUCAAAUCUAAAAGUUUUAAAAGAUAAAUAUAAACCAUUAUAUGUGGCCAAUACCUCAUAGAAAGGUCAACCUUUCUCUCUUAUAUAAUGGAUAAUAUAUAUAAUAAAUAUUUGAGGAAUACUAGAUCUCUAACCUACUUUGGAUUGUAAUCCUAUAAUUAGUAUUUCUCUACAUACUCUUUCUUUCUCUAGGGGUCCAAUUAAUCCUCGUUUUCACAUUAGAACCAACCUCUAUUCCCCUUGAUCAUUAAAAACCACAAACACCCUAUGCUACACCUUUUUCCUAUCUCUAUGUUAGCUUCCAUGGACAUGGAGCCGGAGCCGGAGGAAGAAGAUCUUAACCUAGACCUAUCUCUCCAACCAUCUUCGCCCCCGGAGCCGGCCGGGGUCUUCUCCUGCAACUACUGCACCAGGAAGUUCUACAGCUCGCAAGCGCUGGGCGGUCACCAGAACGCUCACAAGCUCGAGCGGAGCAUCACAAAGAGGAGACGCGAGUCAGCUGCCGCUGCCGCCGCCGCCGUGCGCCCGCACGCGGGCGCAAGCUCCGGUGCGGUCGGUGGGAACUCGAGAGAUGCGCAGGUGGAGUCGGCGAGGGUUGCGUCGACGGAGAGGCAGAAAGGGGAGAAGAGCUACAAUGUGGGACGAUUUGAAACAGGGAUGAAGAAGAGUAAUGAAGAGCUUGCGGGUGAGAUUGAUUUGUCUCUAAAGCUAUGAAUACCAUGCAUGCACUACGUUUGUUUCCUCUUUUCCUUGCUCUUUAUAUUAUAUAUUUUCUUUCCUUCGGAUAAUAUAUAUCACACGUGUAGAUCCCCCUUCCCUACUUAAAAAAAAAACCUAUUGCCUACUCCUGGUGUAUCUGUAUGUCUCAUAUCGUUCCUAAUUUUCGAUGAUUAAUGUCUUGAAACUUAAAAUCUAAACUAUUAGCUAGACGUAAUCUAUACUAUCUAAAAGAGCAUUUACAUAAAAAUGUUUACAAGAUUUGAAAAUCCAUCACUAAGGUACGUAUUAAACAAUCCCAAAAAUCAACGGCAUAUUUACAAGAUAUGCGUUCUAUUAACACAUUCAAUGAAUUAGAUUUUGAUUUUAAGACCAUUAUACAAUCUCGGGGCUUGUAUACGAAACGUGUACCUGAACACCCAGUGCAUGCCAUAGCAAGGGAGAAGGGGAAACUGAAACACCAAUUCUACUCUGUGUAAGGAUGAUGAGCUUUUAAUGUGGAGUCAUUGACAUGCACAUUGGAAUUAGUGAGAGGUGUUUAUGGCAAGUGAAUGUACUGUACAACUUCUAGGCAUAUUCUAGUCUCUCUUUCUCUCAAAGAACUAUAGAAGUUUCUAAAAAUGGAAAUGAAAAAGAAUCUAUAGAUUUCAAUGUCUUAAGAUAGAUUUCAAUGUCUUAAGAUGGAGACGCUGCAUAUCAUUUUUCGCACUGUUUCAGCUCCUGCUUCCGCCGCUGGUGUACGUAUGUUAUACGUUUGUAAUACGUUAUCAUUUGUAUAUAUGAGGAAUACACCAUGAAAGCUCUAUGCUACUUAUACUUACAUUCUCUGCCAUAGCAGCUGCAUCUAUACCACAGCUGAUUUAAUCAAUUUGUUGCAUUAAUUUAUGUUCAAUUUUUAAACUUCAAAGUAGGAACCCUUGUGCCAAUGAAUGGUUAGGACCAUUGAGUCAAUUUUCAAUGUUAGAACAAAGAGAAAUAAUUCUGUACUUUAUUUUAUAAAAAAUAUAAAAAAAUCUUAACUGUUGAUUAAUAAAGGUUAAAAAUGUCAUUUUAUUAUAUAGUAGAUUAAAAGGUUAUUUCAUAUGAGAGUAUUUUUAUAAUUAAAGUAGAUAAAAUUUUAAGAUGGUUUUGACUAAUAUCCCAAAUUUAGCAUUAAUUUUGCACUAAUUUAAACAUUAAUUUAAGAUUUGAUUGAUAUGCCAAAUUUUAGGCAUUAAUUUUAAAAAUUUUAGAAUUCUUCUAACUUAAGCAUUAAUUUAAAUUUAGGAAUUUUAGAAAUAGUAAUAUUUCCAAAUAUGUUGAAUUUAAAUAUUUAAUAUUUAAAUUUAAAAAUUUAAAUUUAAAUAAGAGAAAUUUUGAUGAUGGAGCUUACAAAUCGACGAUCCACUCCGUAAAAUAUAAUCUAGAGUAUCUAAAACUUCUAGGAAAUAAAUUUCGUAAUUUUUUGAAAUCAUAAUAAAGCCCAUCAAGCUGGUAUAAAAUGAACAGUCAAAAUCGAAUGACAUUUUAAAAAUAGAUGAUUGGAUCUUUUAAUUUAAAAUCGGAGUUAUUGAUCUUUAUCUAGAUAGUGAAUAGAAUUUUCUAUCAAAAUAUCAACAGAUUCCGAUUCUUUUACACCGUUAAACUAGCAAGUAUCCUAUACCGGUCGUUAAAAGUUGUUAAUUUUGUGACCUUUUGAUCAUAAGGUAAAUGAUAUCGAAAAAUUAUGAAAUUUAAUUUUUAAAAAUUGUAAAUACUUUAGAUAAUAUUUUAGAGUAUGGAUCGUCGAUUUGAAAGUUAUAUCAUCGAAAACGAUUUUUGAAUACGAGGGAUCGUACUCAUACGAAUAUAGUAGCCGGACUCUCUCUCUCUCUAUAUAUAGAGAGGCCUAACCUAAACUUAAUUAAUUUAAUAUUCCAAUAGGCUGACUAUAACUCAUUAAUCACACUUCCUUUCUAAGGAACAAUAAAUCCUGUCUAUAACAACUUGGUGUAAAUCAACUCAAAAUUCUAAUCUAUUUCUAAUUUAGGGUUACUAUACCCGAUGAAUCUAUUUCUAAUCUAUUUCUAAUUAAGGAUAGUUACACCUCAAUGACCUCAUGAAUCCAUUUAAUUUUGCUUCACAAAAAUUUUAGCCCUCGUUACAAAAUAAUUUGAGUCCGCAUAUCUAACACCAACAAAAUUAACCCUCUUAGUGGGGCCUUGAUUUGAACACUUGGGUAAUGUACGUCAUGGCUAUUCGUGGGCUUCGAAAAGGUUCAUGUUCACUUCGCCUUCUACAGCAAAACCAUAUGUCAUGUCAAUGUCAGUAUAGUACUCAAUACAAUAUCUUUUUUCUUUUUUCCUGAUUAAAGGUCAGCAAAACACUGCUUCCAACAGUAGAACAUGUAGAAAAUAUCUGUAGAACAAAACGAGGUACAGUUGCAAAGCCCAAAAGUGAUCUUUAUGCAUCUCAUUAAUUGUAAAGAAUAAGGUUGAAAAAAAUGGAGGUACUCAUUUUAGAGAUAUACUAUAUUCUGUAAAUUAGAAAUAGGGUAUAAAUCUUAUACUAUUUUGUCCUAGGAUGUAGAUAUUAUUUUUGAAUUUAAUAUUAAAAAAAAGUUUUGCUGAGUUUAUUAGAAAAAUAUUGGUCUUGAAUGGACGAGAUAUAAAAUUGAUUUCGAAUUUUUUAGCGUACAAGUAGUGUGGCUAGCUCUUCUUUUUAUUAUUUAUUUCAUUAUUUUUAGAAGUAAGAAGUAAAGUUAUAAGAUAGACAAAAGAAUAUGCAUGCCGGUGACAAACAUAGAGGUAAUCAAUUAGUACUCUAACACUCAGUUUGGUUCGGAGAUAAGGGGGGAUAAUUUCUUAUCCUCUCUUUAUAUCGAAACGUUAUUUUUCGUACGCGAGAAUAGCUUUCAACUAUCUGAAAUAAGCUGGUAUCACCUGAUAUAAGUAUGGAAUUACUGUUUCACUCUUAUCCCUGGAACAACUGAGAACAAGAUUAAUUAAACUCUAAUUAAUUUUAAUUACAACAUUAAAUUAUUAAUUAUUCUAAUUAAUAUAUUUAAUAUAUUUAAAUUAUUAAUUAAUUUAAUUAAUAUUAAAUUAUUAUUUUUGGAUAAUCCGCUAAGGGUGGGAACGGUUGUUCUCACCCCUAUUUUUAAUUUUAAAAUUUUAAAAACUAAAACUUAAAAAAUUAAAAUUAAAAUUAAAAUUUUUAAAUUUAUAAUUUGUAAUCUCAAAAUUAAAGUUUAUAAUCUUAUAUUUUAAAUUUUAAAUUUUAAAUUUUAAAUUUGAUAUUUUAAAAUUUUAAAAUUUUAAAUUUUAAAUUUUAUAUUUUUCAAAUUUAAAUUUGAUCUUAAAUUUAAAGUUUUAAAUUUAAAAUUCUAAAAUUUGAAAUUUAAAAUUUGAGAUUUUAAAUUUUAAAUUUAAAUUUAAAUUUGAAUUUUAAAAUUUUAAAUUUUAAAUUUUAAAUUUAAAAAUAUAAAUAUAAAAUUUAAAAAUUCAAAUUCAAAUAUAAUAAAAGGAAUAAUAUCAUUAUUUUUUAUGUAUAAUUAUCCACUAUUUUUUUAUUCCAUCUUAUCUAUCGAAAUGCUUUUUUUUUUUAUUCCCGAAAAUAAUAUAAUUUUUCAUCAAAAUACAAAAUUGGUUUAUUUCUUACUUACACUUGAAAUUAUAACUAUCACCGAAAUAGUCGGUUCUUUUUCUUUUUUUUUUUUGAGAGAUAAGUAGCACGCUAUCCACUUCGUUUAUCACCGAAAUAGUCAGUUCUUUUUUUCUUUUUUUUUUUUGAGAGAUAAGUAGCACGCUAUCCACUUCGUUUAUCACCGAAAUAGUCAGUUCUUUUUUUCUUUUUUUUUUUUGAGAGAUAAGUAGCACGCUAUCCACUUCGUUUAUCACCGAAAUAGUCAGUUCUUUUUUUCUUUUUUUUUUUUGAGAGAUAAGUAGCACGCUAUCCACUUCGUUUAUCACCGAAAUAGUCAGUUCUUUUUUUCUUUUUUUUUUUUGAGAGAUAAGUAGCACGCUAUCCACUUCGUUUAUCACCGAAAUAGUCAGUUCUUUUUUUCUUUUUUUUUUUUGAGAGAUAAGUAGCACGCUAUCCACUUCGUUUAUCACCGAAAUAGUCAGUUCUUUUUUUCUUUUUUUUUUUUGAGAGAUAGGUAGCACGCUAUCCGCUUCGUUUAUUUUAUUUAGAAAUAAACCUAUCUGGAAAUGUGAAUCAACUAGGAUUUGAAGUUGGGUCUCGGGUACCAACCACCAAGCAUUUUGCUACUUGUUUUAGGGAUGGUUGGUGAAAUAGUCAGUUCUUGUUUUAGGUUUUAUUCUAUGUAGUUUGUAAUUUAGAUGUCAAUUAGUGGCAAAUUUUUUUUUUUCUAGAUCUGUCAGGUUGAAGAUAUUGAUGUUGCAGGCCUUAUGGGGUGAUAACAAACUUUACCUAAAAGUCCAAAACAAAUUUAUUGCAUAAUUACAAACAAAUUAAAAUAAAUCAACCAACAAAAACAAAUCAAAGAAUCAAAAUUCUCUUCUUCUCCUCCUCUUUUCCCCUCUCUAAUUACUUACAAACUUGUAAUAUUGGAUAAAUAACCAUUCAAAUAAUAUUGGUUGCUUCCCCAUUAGUUGAACACAUCUAAUUAAUUACAAGGAUCAUCGAAUUUUCUCCAUACUUAUCUAAUCCGAUCGGGUCCUCUCCAGGCUCUUCUCCCUUUCGCAAUAUCGAAGCUCGAGCGACACCUUUCUCUCCAUCCGAAUAUGUUUAUAAAAAUUCGCGAUAAAAACAUCCGCCCUCGCAUCAAUAUCGUCGCUCCCUGGCGUCGACACCGAGCUACUCGUCCGCGACACUGCAGCAGUACUGGAGCUCGAAAAAGAAGAGGCGCCCGUGUCGAGGUAUACGCUGUCGGUGGCGUCAGCUAGGCUCGGUCGGGGGCUAAAGCUCACCAGUUGUGGCCCGGGCGACGAGCCAAUGAUCGAAAACAUGACCCACCUGGUGGGGUUGAACGAUAACAAAAAUUUCACCUUGUGAAUUGCCCUUCUCAGGCGACUAAGGAGUUGAAACCUCUUAGUAUUAGUGAUUGCCAUGGGUGGUUUCGUUAUUUUGGUGCGAAAGAGCUUUGAAUAGAGUUUCUUAGGGUAAAUGUAGGUGUGUUUUCAUAUAUUUAUAUUAUAUGGAUAGGGAGAGAGAAAUAGAUAUACGGAAUGGUCUCAUGGGAAACAAAUUAGAGGAAACUACAUUUCUUGGAAAAGAGAUUGCUGGGAAGGUGAGGAAAGAGUCGUGUGGACUUGGCCACAACGUGUGGGGGAAAAAUCACUGCAUGCAUGCACCGCGCAUGGCCUGUAGACCGGGUCUUCAAAACUCAAAAAUAGAUGCAUGCACCAAGUUUGAUUUAUAUAAUGCUAAAUAGUUUACAUAAAGAAAAUAAUAAUUUCAUAUAGAGACUGAUGUUAGCUAGGGCGCAACAUGAUGUAUUAAUUAAAGCCGGUUGAAUUUAGUCGUGAAUGAAACAUACGGUCACUAAACCUAUCUGUCGUUAGUAAUUUUAUUUUUAGUAUAUAGACGGCAAAAAGUUGAAAAAACUAAUGAUUUUACAAUAGUUGUUGUUUGUUACAUGACAAUGAAGUUAAAAUUAUACGUUCGAAUUGAAAUUAUAUGUUGAAUGAUUUAAACAUAUGGACUUGACUGCAGCGAUUUCUAUACAUUUCUAUCGUGUGACAUUAUUUAUUAUUUAGUAAAUUCACAAUAUUUAAAUUAUGGAGAUUAGAGUUCUGAAAGGAGAGGUACAUAGGCUGCAUUGUAUAAUUAUACUCUGUUAUUUAUCUAUACUGAAUUUCUUUUGGCUUAAUUAUCUUUCGCUAUCGAAAUAUGUCAACGGCCGAAAUGUGUGAAGUUUUGUUUCUUCUUCUAUAUUCUUAUAUAUUUUUUAUAUUUUUUAUCUUAUAAAAUUUUUCAUUCAAUCCAUGCAUGUAGCACAAUAAAAAGCACACCAGUUUUAAGAUAUUAAAGCAUCAGAAUUGUAGAGUAGAUUUAAACUUAAUCCUCAAGAUUUAUGUUUUGAAGACUUUGGUGUAUAGACCACGGUCCAUGGAAUAAUUUCUCUGAGUAGGAUACACGUAGAGCAAGUCCAGUGUGUCCGCGUAAUCAAAUACGCUGUAGCUUGGGCGUGUUGGGAACCACAACUGCUUUGUUAUGAAGUUCACUACACGUGGCAGGUUCACGGCGGAUUGAUUAAUGAGAAAAUUCGGACCGUACGAUGGAUUGAACAUGUCGCGAGAGCCAAUAUGUGCGAGGUUCACUGAAUUCGUGGUCAACGGUCAACAUUUAAUCAUGUACAUGUGGCUUAAUUGUAUAGAAUGAGUGUGCUAAUGUGUGAAUGUUUGACUCGGUCUCUAGCCGUGGUUUGGCUCGAGUUGAGUUCUUUUGCCCUUUUUUUAAUUUUUUAAUUUUUUUUUUUUUUUGGAAAACUACAUAACUCUAUUUAUUAUUAAAAAAAAAAAAAAAAAACGAGAUUGAGACUUACGCAGCCUAAGAAAAACAAAGAAAAAUAUCAAAAGAUAUGGUAAUUAAUCUACUGAGACGCUCGAGUAGAGAUGCACGUGAAGUAGUGAAGCUUUAUGCGUAAAAGUGAAGUCGAUUAGUAAGUUUUUUUCUCCUAUGUAUAAUAGUAGAUAGUUCCGCAACCUUUGAGACUUGAAGUUCAUCUCCAAUGCUAUGUCUUAUUUGAGUCUAACAAUUCAACUGCACCUUAUUACAAUUUUAAAGUAAUAAACUUGAUAUGCAUCUCAGGAGAGUAACGCGCUUCAUGGAAUGAAAGGUCUCUUAGUUUUUCCACAUUAUAUGCUAUUAUGUUUCGGCUCUUGAGUGAAGAAGUGUAUGAUUAAGAUGAUAGUCGUUCUCUAGGGUUGAGUCGGUGGUUGGUUAAAUAGUAUGAUCUAACGGAUAAAAAUAAUCAAAGAGAUAAAUCUAACGACGAAAAAUUUAAUAGCACCAAGCGUUUGGUGUCAUUGAUAGCAUAAUAACCAGACUCUUGGAUGAAGAAAUGUGUAGUUUAGAAUAUAUUUUUUUUUGGGGAGAUAGAUAGUACGCUACCCGCUUCGUUAAUUUAUUUCAUUUAGAAAUAAACUUAGCUGGAAAUGUGAAUCAACUAGGAUUCGAACUUGGAUCUCGGGUACCAAGUUACUGGUACUAUUAGGUUUUUAGCCCUUGAAUGAAAGGAUGUGCGGUUAGAAUAAUAGUGGUCCCCUAAGGACGUGUGUGGUUGAUGGAAGGGAUGGAAGUGGAUCAAAAUUAUGAUAUCUUAUUAAUUAACUAACUAAAAUUAUGAUUUUAUCAUUAUCCUGUAAUUUAGAAUUAAUAUUAUUUUCUAGUAGGAUCUAUUUAAUUGACUUGCUACCUCUCCACAUGUUGUGGUGUGCAAACUUUGAAUAUUUAUGAUCAAUUAAUUAAUUUAAAAAUUGGAGUAAAAUUUUCUCAGUUGAUGAAACCACAAACUUACUCUACCUUAAUGGUUGAUUUAAAGAUUGUGAACUCAUAUAUUGAUAAAAUAUAAGUUAAAAGAAGUGGUUGUACAUCAUGCACAUGUACCCAAACAUGUUAUCACAAAAAUGGAUUACGAGGGACCACUUUUGAUAUUUACAACGCUUCAGAGACAGCAAUGUUAUAUAUGCUUGUUAAUUUCAGCCGCACAAAUGUUUGGUCCCUCUUUUGCAUGGUAAGUAGAAAAUGACUAGGCACCGGCAAUUGAUCUAAGAACACAACAAAACAAGAUUCCCAUCAAGUCCAAAAAUAGAAACUCAAUAGUGUAGAAAUAAAAUAAUUACGUCUAAGCAGCUUAAAAGCGUCUUCUAAGUAUUUAGAACUCCUGUUUGUAUCUUUUCUUCUUAGUUGUGUGUUCGUAUUAGCUAGUAAUAUAUCAAUAUAGAAAUUAUUGCCUACACAAAGCGCGCGCAUAUGUAUGUCUCAUCUUUCGGUUUACACUUAUAGUGACCUAAAACUAUGUAUAACCUGAGAUUUUUUUUUUCUUUUUUCAAACAAGAAAGUGGUGAUUCAAAUCGUAAUUACUGCCCUGCAAAAAACAACUAGCAAAUUUAGGUUGUAGAGAAUAUAAUAUAUAAACAAUGUUCUUUGAUGACUUGAGCUUAAUUAAGUUUUUGGUGAUAAGUGAUUGUUUUAUAUAAUUUAAUAUGGCAUGAGAAUAAGAGGUAGUAACUUGGAAUCUUACUAGAUCCCUAGUCUUAUUUAAUUAAUUCCUUCUAAUAAUUCAAACUUAUGUCUUGGCCUAUCAAGAAGUUUUACGGUGAGACAAUUAAGAGCCAGACAUGAGAGGGAGUGUUAAGAAUAAAUAAAAUAUAAAGACAUCAUUCUAUUGAGGCUUAAGUUUAAGUUUAUGGAGAAAAACGGUUGUUUUAUGUUAUUUAAUAAAGGUGGUGGUUGUUAAAAUUAAAGUUAGUAUUUACUUCAUUACCUACAUAUUCACAUUGUCAAGGACAUUUAUGCAUAAACUUAUUUAUCUAAAUGCUGCUGAUUUUUGCGCAAAUACUUAAGCUAAUUUUGUGUGUAUGAGGGCACUGGCCCAAAUAAGUAAGAUUUUACAUGCUUGAAUACUAAAUUUGUAGGAUUAACUCCGAUCGAGAUAAUGUCACAUACUUAUAGAGGUAUUUAUGCACCAAGAAAAAAGAGGCUUGCUUGCUGCCAAAAAUAUUCGAAAAAAUAUAUUUUGGUAUUCUUGGAGGUUGUUAAUAUGUCCAUCAGUACAUCUGAUAUUUUUUUUUUUUUUAGAGAUAUGUAGCACGCUACCCGCUUCGUUUAUUAUACAUAUGGUAUUUUAAACUUUGUGCACUCAUGUAUCACUCAGGAAUACUAAAAGUGCUAUGAAAGGUUCAUUUGGUUUACAGUUUGUAGAAUUUCAAUAACUCUUCAUAUUUUUUAUUAAGAAGAUUCAAAUUAUUACAAUUAAACUCAAGUUGGAUGAGCGUCAGUAACGUAGUGCAAUCAUUGUAAAUUUUUGGAUGGUAGAAAUAUUAAAUUAAUUAUCAUGAAUUAUGAGGUAUCAUUCUUUUCAUACUUGAUGAUAAUUAUUAGUAGUUCAUUAAUAAGAAUAUUUAUAUUUUCUUAACUGUCUUCCAAUCCAAGUGGUUUAAUAAGUUAGUAACAAACUUAUCUUUCCCAUAUAAAAAAUAUACAAUUUUUACAAAAUAUUACAGUGAACAAUAAUCGAGAUAUUAUUCUUUGCAUUUUGUACUUCCCAUAAUCCAUAGAGAACAAAGGUGUGCCUUAGAGAGGAAAUCACCUCUGUAAUACUUAAACAUAUCAUCAAUAACGACCGGUCAAUUAAAUCUCUCUUCUUGGAAAAAAAAUACAAUAAACAUACUAUUUUAAUAACAACGAUAAGAUGAGUGACUUCAAAAAAAAUAAUUUGUAUAAAUUGAGAAUGCUAUAUUAAUAAUAUAACUAGUGCAUUCUUUUUUCUUUUUUUUUUUCAUCACUGGGGGAGCAGUGAUUGUCACGCCCCGAGACCGUCGCAUCGAAUGUCGCCGAACCGAAGCCGCCGGAGGAACACUCACCGGCGGGAGACGUGCCGCCACCGGAGUCGCAGCAAUGCCCUCAUCCGCAGCCGCCUCAGGCGCGCGCGCCGAGGGUGCGGGCGGAUCACGGGACGUGACAGUGAUAGUGCAGGAUAUUAAUUAGUAAUCUAAUCAUUACGCAGCCAAGUUGCUACUCUGAAAGGCUCCCCCAACCACAAGUAUGUUUGCGACAUGUGCCUUUUUAAAUUGAACAAGUGGGUGGUAGAAGCAUCACUGUUUCAAGAGUCCUUCUCUAGAGAUAGGACAAAAGAAGUCCCCCGCCCCAGUCCGUACAAAUAUUGAUAAGGCUGAAUUGAUAUAUGGAUGAUGGAUUGAUAUACUGGCAUCGCCACAGCAAAUUUUAUACUCAAGAACACUUUAAAUAAUAACUAGUGAUGGUUUUAAGCGUCGGUAAAAAUAACUUCGAUGCUUGUAAAAAUAUCGAGUAAAAAAUUAUUAAAUAAAUAUAUUGGGAUAAAUAUACUCACGUUUUAAUAUAGCGUUGGAAAUUUUUGUCAGUAUUUAAUAAAUAUAAGCUUAUUGACGAUGCUUAAUCAUGAUGUCGGUACAUGUUAAAUAUUGAAUAUGCUAGAAUAGAACGUCGUCUAAAAUAUAUUGAGUAAUAAUUCAAUACACCAUGUAAAUCUUGACUAUUUAUUUUUGUAAAUAGAUAGUUGAAAUAUAAUAAGAUUCUAGAGGCGACCUACUAUUCAAGUAUAGGUACCAUUCACCAGGUACCUAUUUAAAGAGUAUUUUGGUCUUAUGAAAAUAUUUUGGUCUAUAAAAUCGGUUUUUUUCAACUAAGAAUACUAAAACCUUCUCAAAUAUCUAUAACAAUAAUUGGAAUUCAAAUUACAACUAAAUUGUAAAUUUAAAUGCAAAGAAACAUAAAAAACUUAAUUAUAAAUCAAAUUCAACUUUUAAAUAUAAAACACAAAUUUAAAUAAAACUUUCAGUGAAUUUUUAUUAUUUUAUUUAUUUAUUUAUUUAUUUAUUUAUUUUUGAGAGAAGGUAGCAUGCUACCGAAAAAAAAAAAAAAAAAAAACUCACGCCCUCUUAAGGCUAGAACAGCAAUUCACCCAUGAAAUUUUUAAUUAUUUCAUGAUUCAGGCAGAUUCAGGCAGGUUAUGAAAUAAUAGAGAUAUAGAGAUAGGGGGAGAAAAUUAAGGAGGAACAAAAUGUGAUUUUUUGGAUUGAUAAAAGACUAAUAAAAUAUAUAUAAUAUAUAUAGGCAACUCUUAAUUAACUUUCACAUUAAAUAUAAAUAAUUUGAGAAUUAUAACCGACUUAAAUCACAUGAAGCUUGAAUAGUUGUUGCUUAAAGUUUUCCUUAUGUGAUUGAAGGCAAAAGAUUUGAUUUUUGCUCCGUAAAAAAUAUCGCCGUUCAUGAUUUGCCAAAAUAACAUAUUUUACUUACAAAAUUAUUUAUCUUAUUUUGAGAAAUUGACUAGAAAGUAAAAUAUGUCGUUCCAUUCUGUACGUCUGGUUAUAUUUCUCAUCUAUUAAAACCAAUAACUUUUUGAAUGAGAUUAAGAUAUUCAUUAAUACAUACAGGGUCUAAAGAAAAAUGCUACUUGUAUGCCGGUAUAUAGGUGUAGAUCUUUAUAUCCUUCAAAUCCUAGAUUCACAAAUCCUAGUGGAUUUUAAUUAGUUAACGAAAAUACAAAAUGAUAAGACUAGUGAGGGAAUAAGGACCUUAGAUGAGUAGGAUGUAAGAUUUAUCCUAAGCGAGAGGUGUAUGUUUCAAUGCGUUUAAUUUCACUACGAUUCUAAUUAAUAUCGAAAAGUCUUCGAUACAAAAAAGGCCCUUAACUCUUAAAGCUACAAAGUUUGAGCAAUGCUUCUAUAUUUUUUAUUUUUAGAUGCCGUUCUUUGCUUUUAUUUAGUUGUGACCCGCAAUAGCAAGUUACCUUGAAAGAGAUACCGUUCAUCAGAUACUCCAAAAAAAAGUAUUUUGGUCUUUUGAUCCAGGGGUAAUUAAAUAAUUUUGCCCUCACUAUAUUAUCAAAUCUAUUCUUUUUUUGUUUCUUUUUCCUACCUCUCUAUCUUUCUUCUCCAUUCAUAGAUGGGGAGGCGUAGUUGUUUCAGGUUCAGUUUUUGGGUUAGGGUUUGGGUUUGAGUUUGACUUUCAAAUUUUUUAAUCAAUUUUGGAUUUGGAUAUGAAUUUUCGAAAUCCUUCAAGUUCACAUAUAGAUUUGGGAUUGAUAAACUUUCUUUAAAUUUAACAAUAUUUAAUUACAUAAAUAAUCUCAACAUGAAAUUACCUUUUAACCUGCUAAGGGAUAGAAUAACAAUUUUAUUCUUUAUUGAUCAAUGGUUAAGAUUUUUUUUUUAUUAUUUAUAAAAUAAGUACCGAAUUAUUUCUCACAAAGUUUUAUUUGGUGGCCCAAACAAUUGAACUCUAGAUCAGACGGUACGUGGCUGUGUGGGAUGCAAGCUCGCAUUAUCUGACUUAUUUUUUUGAUUAAUAAAUUUUACAUAAAAAUCACUUUACAGACGCACACAUUGAAACCAGGGAAUCCAAAAUAUCAUAAAUCUAAUUUUACUUUGGAUAAUUACAUUUACAUCUUACAUUUAGAAAAGAAACUACAGUAUAAUAAUCAAGCUACGUACUUUUGGUCCCCUCGCAAUAAUCAACAACUGAAUCGUUACAGCGCAUCUGUCUACAUUGAGAUGGUAUAUAUUUGAUGUUUUCCGGAACUGUGGGAUGUCCUUAUGUUCAUCAUGAGAGUGUGGUUGAUAUAGACAGAGAAAGGGAAAAGCCAAGGAGGAAAAAAAUGAGGGUUAAAGCACUAUGUUUCUUUCUAGGAUAAAUUACACUUUUACGUGCUCUUUAAACUAUAAGACGCAUAAUAUUUUAAUCUUCAAAUUUUAAGUGUUAUUUUUUUGUUUUAUUUUUUAAAAAUUAUUGCAAUCAAACUUCACAAUUUAAUUUAGCAGACUAGAUGGUAAUAUAUUGCCAAUUACUAUCAUAUUAUAGUUAUUGUCAUAUCAUCAUCUCCAAUUAAUACUGCCAAAUUAGCAAAACAUCAGUUAGUAUCUAGCUAGUUAACUUAAUUGAAAUUAUAGCAAAUUAGAAUUUAAGGACUGAAAUAUCAUGCAUCAUUUUGUGUGAGAACCAUAUGUAUAAUUUAACCCCCCUUUUUCUUCUUUUUUACUAUAGAAAUGAAUAGAAAAUGUCCACUUACCCACACAACUUUCCCUCCAAAUUAAUAUAAUGGAGCCAUAUAAAUGAGGGCGACAUCGACUUGGUCCCAGAUCUUUUUCUCCAGAGUCAAGGCUCUCUCUCUCUCUCACCUUAAUUAGUUCUCCCUUAUCAACUUGCUCCAAAGGAGCACCAUACACAUGCUUCUCCAUCAUAAUUACAAGAAAAUUACAUGCUUCAUAUAUCCACCUGCAAAAUUCGACAUUAAUAGUAGUUUAUUUAUGCUUACGUAACAACUUUUUAUUAGUUCUUUUAAAAUAUCAUGUGUAAUUAUCAGCAUAUCUAUAAAUUACACCACUCUUUAAGUGAACUGUACUAACUAACCAAUUAAAUUAA
rnacentral:lncRNA from 1 species